rnacentral:lncRNA from 1 species
CUUUGUUGAUCCUUAAAGGACUAUGGAACCUCCAAUGGUUUGAACAAGAACACAGUAAUUCUCUAUCAGAGACGAGUCUCGAAUUCUACAAUAGACCGGUUUAGGCAGCAGAAACAACAACAUUCACAUAUGAUGUAGAUGAUGAAGGUAGCCAGCCAAGAGAGCGAGAUUAUUUGGGUCCCCAGGAGUCCAGGUAGAUGAUCUUGGACAUCGAAUCCUCGGUGCGCCUGGCUCUCUCCACCGCUUUCUCCCCUCCUCUCCUCCACUGAUCAAUGGAAGAAGAAGACAUCCUCUUGGCCCGAGAGAACGGCGCCAUGCUGCGCUUGGCACGCCCGUGGAGGGACCUGAGCGCGUAGUUCCAUCGACACAGGCCCGCCUGAUCCUUGAGCGCCUCCACCGCCGCCACGCUCGCUGCGACGAUCAGCGAAGCCUUGCUUGCCGAAGCCAUAUGUAUCAAUCUACUACUCAGUAGUUUGAACCUGUGAUGAGUUGCAAAUGUUACAGAAGUGGGCGACGGGGAAGGGAAACACAAGCGUCCAUAUAAAGCCCCCGAGGAAGGGAAAACAGGGGAUGAGAUUGCCGCUGGUUUCGGCUCAUAGUUGUUUCCCAGAUACAAGGGGAGGCUUUUGCUUGUUUACGGAUAAGACUGUGACUGCAUUGGAAUCAGUGAGACGGAUGGUUUGGUAGGAGAAAACGUGUGGCUAAAGUAGAACAAAAGGCACACGGAUCGGAGACCUGUGGGCGGCACCAGUAAACCGGGAAUCUAACGGUUGAUCAGCCAUCCUUGCUUGGCUUGGCGAUCCUGUCGAGAUGUGAGGUUUGGUCUCUCUCUAUCUCUCUCUCUCUCUCUCUCUCACACACACAUCUUUGAGUCGAGCAACUGCGGAUGGAUUCCCUUCUUACUCCUGUUUUUGUUUCGGUAACAAAGGUCACUCAGCAUCAGUCUCUUGCUGGAUCGAUAAUAGUAUCUAUCUAAAACAAAUUCUCUCUUUUUUUAUUGUUCUUGUAUGAGCUGAAGAUAAAGAAAGGGAUAAACAUUGGUGAGAGAUGGGAGAGAGUGAUCUUUCGAAGAUGUGAUUGAUUUAGCAUAGCUUCUGCCGAUGGAUUUCAUGUCAUCCUUUGCUCCUUUUAAUCAGUUCCAUCGAAUAUAUAUGAGAUAAGACGAGAAAUGCCACAAACAUCUUGAACAAACUUAUCCAUGCCAUGAAAAGGCCUCAUCAUGUUCGAACAAUUCAGUAUAUAUUACUGCAAAAUCGGAUUGUUUUUACAUAGGAGACGUAGGCUGAACAGAGAAGAAGGAUUUGGUUCAUCUUUGAACCAAACACAAAGACACCUCUCUCUAAUUGGGACCCCAACAGCUCAAGUACACGACCGUCCUCAGUGCCUCCUCUGCUUGCUUGGCCUUCGCAUCCGCCGCCUGCCACUCUCUCCUCGUGUCGAUGGAGGAAGAUGUCCUCUUGGCCCGAGACAAGGAGCCUACGGUGUUGUUCUUCGUCCGCUGCUGCAGAGAUCUGAGGACGUAGUUCCACCGGCAUAGCCCCGCUUGGUCCUUGAGCGCUUCCACUGCGCUCAUGCUAGCCGCGACAACGAAACAAGCCCUGCUUGCAGAAGCCAUAUCUUUAGCCUAUGAAAGAACUGAUGAGUGACAAAGAAGAUCUCGGUGGAAGUAGAUCGUGAGUGUCUCAAUCUGAUGCCGAAGAAGGAGAUGGAAGGGUGUCCAAUAUAUAAGGCUACGGUAAUCGAGGAGGUUGGGAGGAGAGGGUAUGGAAGAGAAAGAGAACCGGGGUGCGCUGCUGCUGGUUUCUUGCUUCUCACUCCCCCUUCCCCUGAUACCAGCGGCCAUAUUGCUUGUUUAUUAGCUUCCACAUGGUUGGAUUUGACACCGCGAGAGUGACGCCAAGGAACUUGGCAGCAUAUGUAUCUUGGAUCUGUAAUAUGUAUAGUAUAGUAUAGUAUAGUAUAGCAUAUAUAUAUAUAUAUAUAUGGUUUCAUCCAAUAAAUUUAUAUCUGAAAUAUUAAUUUCAAGAUGAUAUACGUAUUUAUUUAUCUCCGUAAAAUUAAGCUACAAAAUCUGCAUGUCCAUAAUAAUAAUGGAGAUGAUCACAAAACCCAAGCGAGACGAAUGGCGUCGUCUCUACAACACUCCUAUUUGGGUCCCCAGCAGUCCAAGUAGAUGAGCUUGGACAAGGACCUCUCGGUGCGCUUGGCUCUCUCCACCGCUCCCUCCCCUCCUUUCCUCCACUGAUCAACGGACGACCAAGACAUCCUCUUGGCCUGAGAGAGCGUCGCCAUGCUGCGUUUCGCCCGCUGGUGGAGGGACCCAACCGUGUAGUUCCAUCGGCACAGCCCUGCUUGAUCCUUGAGCGCCUCCACAGCCGCCAUGCUCGCUGCGAUUAUCAACGAAGCCUUGCUUGCCGAAACCAUACGUAUCAAUCGCCUGCUCUGAGUUUGAAUCUGUGUAACAGAAGUGAGUGUUCGACGGGGAAAGGGAAAGAGCACACGACAGUCCAUAUAAAGCCCGGAACGGAGGGCGGCUGCAGGGAAGGGAGAGGUGGAGGAAGGAGGAAACUGGGGAUGAGCUGCUGCUGCUGCUGGUUUUGGGUUGCUGUUGUUUUCCAGAUACGGAGGGCUUUCGGUAGGCACUUAAAAAAUAUCCAUCUACUAAAGCAGAAGCAAAGCCACACGGAUCGAAAAAUGGUGGGCUCGACUUGCAGUGGGUGCACGAGGAAACUGGGAAUCCAGCGACGCAGAUAUGGAUUGUUCUGUCAGCUGGGUUGUCCUGUUUAUUUGGUUUUUGCCUUCAGCUCUGGUUAAGAAUUAGGGUUCGAUCAAUAUCAAUAAUGAUGCUCGAAUUACGAAACAAGUAACUAUAUCAAUACAUAGAUUCCUUUGUUGGUAACUCAUCUGGAAUGACGCGAGCUUAGCCAUCCAUCAUUGCUGGAAAGUAUUUGUGUGAGUUGAAAACUGUGGUGAAAGUGUAGGAAGUUUACUGUCUCACCGAGAAAGAGAACACUUUGGCGAAGAAUUCAGAUCGAUGGACACAAGGAAAACAUUUCUAACAUGCUUAUCCACGCCAUGAAAACGCAUCAUCCAUCAUGCACGCUCCAAGAAUUCAGAAGAAAUGGUUGAUGAAUAUACAUCAUCAAAGCUGGAUAAUUUACAGUGGAGAAGUAAGCUGAAGCAAAAGGAUCCUCUAAUUGGGACCCCAACAGCUCAAGUACAUGACUGUUCUCAGCGCCUCCUCCGACUGCUUCCCCUUCUCCGCCGCCGCCUGCCACCCUCUCCUACUCCUGUCGACGGAGGAAGAUGUCCUCUUGGCCUGAGACAACGACCCCAUGCUGCUCUUCGCCCGCUGCUGUAGGGAUCUGACGACGUAGUUCCACCGGCACAGCCCCGCCUGAUCCUUGAGCGCCUCCACCGCGCUCAUGCUCGCUGCCACCACCACACAAGCCCUGCUUGUACAACCCAUCUCUUCAAUACCUCCCGAGUGAGUGCAAAGAGGAAGUAGCUUGUAGUUCUCUUCUCUCGAUCUGAUGCAGCAGUGGGAAGGGAAUUGUGUGCAAUAUAUAAGGCCACAAUAGUUGAAGACGAUAAGAGGAUAAGAUGGAUGGGGGACAGAGGGAAGAGGAGAGUGCCGCUGCUGGGUUUGUGCUUUCCGAUUCCUUUUCCCCCAAACCAGGGGCUCUAUGCCAUUUGCUUAUUGGCCUCCACUUGCUGAACUGGACCCAGCGAAGUAGAUUGGCGGCGUGUGCGAACGCACGUACCUGGGUGAGGUUCUUCUGACCUGUAUGCAUAAUAUGCGUUUGCAUAUGAGGAAAAUAUUGGUUUUGAUAGGAUAAAUAAUAAUCCGGUCAAAACUCAUCCCAUCAUCUUGAUUAAAGAAGUCACCUCAACCAUAAGAGAAGGCCUACAUGCAUGUAUUGAAGCAAAACGAUACGGCGACACAAGAAGCCAUCCUCCGCCUAUCUCGGACAAGCCAAGAGCCCUAACAAAACAUAUAAUCACAGAUGUCCUAUCCUGACGUCAUUCUUUAGAGGAUGCACUCGUCAACUACCACAAUCGAUAAUCCCUUGGCAGGGUAAGGGACACCCUAACCCAUCAUUGGCUUUACGCCAUCAAUCACUCAGGUAUAAAACCCAAGCCCCUAAGCCAAACGGGGACAGGCAGACUCUAUCUCAGCUCUUCUAAGAUCUACUAAACCCCCUUCACAUACUAUACUAACUUCGGUGUCGGAGGGAUCGGGUCGGGACAUCCUCCAAUGUCGAUCGCUUGUGCAGGGCUCAUGCAUAUCUAAGGAGCACCUCAGAGUGAUGCUGAGCGCUUUUAGACAAGGCCAAGACACCCCUCGAGAUGACCUAAAACUUCUACCAAUAGACAAGUUGCACCUUGGGACGAUCGUGAGUCAACUACCAUAAGCCAACAAUGCUUUGGAAGUCCACUUGCCACCUCGGCUACUCACUCGAGUCGCCUCAUCCAUGUAGGUGCGGACCCCAAGGAUGGAUCUACACCUUCGGGAUCGAACCAGGUUGUGUUAACUCUCCGGUCAAUAGUACUAAUGUAACGACAUUUUAGCACUGAAAGGAGGGCCCGAAUGUCGCAAGAAUAUUCAUCCACGACUUUCCCUGAUGAACUAUCAUGAACUUAGCUGAAAUUGCCUAAGCCAUGAGGCACUAUUAUGGCAAAGUCUUAGACUUAGCUUGAGUUGUCUAAGUCGUAAAACACCCUUGCGCCAAUUUCUCAAACUUAGCUGGGAUUGCUUGAGUCAUAACGCGCCCAAACGAUAUGCGGCCACAAAGGGUCAAUCAAUUUGCAACCUCACUCAGGCCUUGAAAGACCUGUAAAAAAAAAAGUGAACUAGUUCAAAAACGAGUGACGGACAAGUCCCCACGUCUCAUAAAAAGGGAAGCUUUAUAAGCAAUUCAAUGAGCACCUUAUGUGCAUGGGAGAAAAGAGAGGAAUGAGAAAAACAAGGACUUUAAAAAGUUGAAGGAAUAGUUGCAAGUCCAUAAACAACUGCUCACCGGGUGUUGGGCGCAAAGGCAAGUCCCCGUCAAGUUAACAUACAAACUUAUGAAGAUUUUUCAAUGCCCGACACUACCCCAAAGCUCCAUUUCCCUUGGUGCCACCCGGGGGAUUCUAGGAUGCUGAGAUGGCUGACAUUUUACGUGUAGUAACGGGCUAUAGAAAACAACCUAUGGCAUAUGAAAAUAAAGUCAUUUUGGGACAGUUUUGCCCGACACAACGAGUGGUUGCACUAUAACACUGAACCUAUUCGAAUAUACAUUUUUAUAGCAAAAACACAUAAAACCAAGGCAAAAUAUGUUGCCAAGCAUUUAUACAUAUAUGCAAAAGUGACGAACGGUUCGUUGAAUGAAGUUGUGUGGGUGUGCGACGAUCGUUCGUGUUAGAAUACUCUAGUAAAGAAGCGUUGCCACUGGUACUUGAUGCCUUCGGACGGGAAGGACAACUUAUGUCCUUCCCUCAGGUGGACACCUUCACCUUGGCACAAACACCGAGAUGUCAUUGACAUAUGUUUAACGAUCUUUGGGAUUGAGUGCGGGACACCUACUCAACCCAUUUGAUGCCUUCCUAAGACUCACAUAUCAAGUGCAAGCACUUGUCGGUAUGAUGUAGGUGAUUGCCCCUCUCCUAACCCAACUAAUAUAGUAGGCAGCCUCGACACUACGGCCAGCAAUCCAACCCCUGCUCGCCGACUUGCCUUAAGGAGUAUCCCCAGCCAGCUCCCAACAAAUGCCCCUGAAAUGCCAUCACCAAGCUAAGGUGGCUCUCGAAGCGUAAAUACCCUCGAUAAUAGAGCUCAGUGUCCCAUCGUAUCGCAAGGUGUCCAUGGCCAGAUCGGGGUCAUAGUUCAUUAACUCGAUCGAGAAUUCACUCAAAGUAUAACUUCGGGCCUUGAACCAGCGUCUAAACAAUGUAUAAAAAGAAUUUCUGCAUUUAAAGGAUGAAUAUGACACCUCGAAUGCCUCCCCAUUCGCUCAAAGCAUUCAAGAGGAGCCCAUUUUGGCUAACUUCUGCCCCUCAUUGCUAGAGGCCUUCAAUAGCAGCUCUGAUCCAAUGGAGCACAUUGUAGCCUUUAGGGCUCAGAUGUCAUUAUUUGACACAUCAGACACCUUAAUGUGCUGGGCAUUUCCCACGACCCUAAGUGGGCCAGCUCAAGAGUAUUAUAGUCGCUUGAAACCCCUCUUGAUCACCUCCUUCCUGUAGCUUGCAAAAGAAUUUGAGCACCAUUUUCUCGCUAAUGUGCCCCCAAAGCCAUCCAUAGCCAUGCUGCUCGGGUUGAGAUGGAGGGAAGAUGAGCUUCUCUCCUACUUCGUCGAUCAAUUUAUCGAUGAGAUUCGAGGGAUCCCAGAUGCCCAUCCCUCGUUGGUGACCCAGACUUUCAUGAUGGGCCUGAGGCGUACAUGCUUCGUCUAGUCACUAGUGGAAAAAAUGCUCACAACCAUGUUCGAAAUGCUGCAAAGGGCUAAUCACUAUGUAUCCGCUGAGGACAUGAUCUCAAGUUGAGUAGUUAGAAAAUAUAUUUGAAGAAUUAUAUAAUAAGUUGAUUGAUCAUAAAAUAUAUUUAAAACAAGGACAGAGAUGAGACCAACUAUCACAACACAAUUCAAUUAAAAAUCUAGAAGAAAAAGUAAUCAAAGCAACAAGAACUUCAAUAAAGGACCAAACAAGAUGCCUCCCGGACAUAUGAGUAACAUAUAAAGCCAUCAUCCUCCGUUAUACCAUUAAAGCAACAGCUACAGUGGCAACUUCAAUCCAAACAACUCAAAAAAUAACUUUAAUUAUAAUUAUCAAUAAUUUUGGCAUCCCGACAAUAACAAUCAGCAAAAGGUCAUCUACUAGCUCUAUGAUAAAAUUGGGCACGCAAUAAAAGUUUAUUGAUUUGGACCCAAGUCCACUACUACACCUAAUUGGCCUCAAGCAAACAUCAUGGCUACUCUGACUGCUCAUCCAAGUAAUUGAAUUAUUAACUCUGAUACUUCUCAUCAUAUCACAUUUAAUUUAUAGAAUUUAUUUAUUCACAACGACUAUAGAGGCAAUGAAGAUAUUAUCAUUGGUGAUAGUAAUAAAAUCUCUAUUACUUACACUGGUCUCACGAUACUUAAUCUAUAUAUAAACACUUUUACACUCAAUGAUAUUUUAUGUAUACAUCAUAUUAAAAGGAAUCUUUUUUUUAUUUUAUAAAUAAAAUAAUAUAUUUAUUAAUUUUUUUUACUUAUUUCUUGUAAAGGAUCUGAGCCCAAGAAUAUCCUUGGUUCGAGACUAGAAUAAAAUAACAAGUGUGAGUGACCGUUAACUUCAUAAAUCACCCAACCAAUCGCUUUUGUUUCAAUUACUACUCCGAUCGAUGUGUGACAUCAUCGCUUUCGUCAUCCAUCAUACAUUAUUCAAUGAUAACUAAUUUCUCCCUUUCUAUUUCCAAAUAAAGUAGAAUUGUAAUAUGCUUGUCUUAGUAAUAAAAAUCACAUACUAUCUUUUGGAAUGUCUUCCAUAUUAUACUCCAAACAACUUGAAAUUAUUUAUACUAAUGUCUAAGGCCUUAUUCUAACCAAUUCCUUUAAUAAUUUUAGAUUUUAUGUUAUUUUUAUAAAUUAUUUUACUAAAUAUAUAUUACUAUAUUCCCUCAAACAUAUGAAGUUAUCAUAGUUUUUACUUAUUUUAAAAAAGUGAUCGAGAAUUUCUUCUAAGCUAUUAUUAAAAUAAUUUACUUUAACGAAAGAGGUGAAUACUAAGCUAUGAUGACUUACCUCUCAACUAGUUAGCUUUGCUAAAUGAAAACACAGACACAUAACUGAAACAUGUCUCACCCUCAUACACUAAGCAUCUAUGCUGCUAAUCUUUUGAUCAAUAAUCUUUCAAACUAUAGUCUACCUCAUUAACUGUAUACUCACCUUUAAUCCUACAACACCAGUUAUUUAAAAAAUUAUUUUAUAAAAUUAUAAAUUUUUAAAAACUCAAAGUAUUUGAUUGUUUAUGUUAUUCAUUACUACGUCCUUAUACUUUACAUAAGUUAACACCAAGAUUCAAACUUUAUAUCUUUGAUGUUAUAAUUCUAAAACUCAAAAGAUCUUUAUAUCACGUCAUAUUAUCUUUGUUACAUCUUUCUCUUUCAAAAUCUUAUUCCUUCAUCAAUAUAAACCAAUAUAACAAUCAUCCAUUAUUGGAUUCAUACGAGUACACCUUAAACCCCUAACCCCUCCUCCCCCUCAAAUACACUUCCCACAACAUCAAUCAAUAGUUAUCUAGACCGCCUCCCCCCCUCCCCUCAAACACACCUCUCACGACAUCAAUCAAUAGUUCUCUUUACUCUAGUCUCCUCUGUUAGGUAAUAUUGAAAUGCAUAAACUUAAUUAAAUAAGUGUCACCAACCCUCAAAUACACUUCCCACAGGCACCCUGCUUGAUCCAAGCCAUGAAAACGCAUCAUCCAUCAUGCAUGCCCUAGGAAUUCAGAAGAAAUGGUUUUAUAUACAUCAUCAAAGCCGGAUAAUUUACAGAGGAGAAGUAAGCUGAAGCAAAAGGAUCCUCUAAUUGGGACCCCAACGGCUCAAGUACAUGACUGUUCUCAGCGCCUCCUCCGACUGCUUCCCCUUCUCCGCCGCCGCCUGCCACCCUCUCCUCCUCCUGUCGACGGAGGAAGAUGUCCUCUUGGCCUGAGACAACGACCCCAUGCUGCUCUUCGCCCGCUGCUGCAGGGGUUUGAGGACGUAGUUCCACCGGCACAGCCCCGCUUGAUCCUUGAGCGCCUCCACCGCGCUCAUGCUCGCUGCCACCACCAAACAAGCCGUGCUUGCACAACCCAUCUCUUCAAUACCUCCCGAGUGUGAGUGCAAAGAGGAAGUAGCUCCUAGUUCCCCACUCUCGAUUUGAUGCAGCAGUGGGAAGGGAAUCGCGUGCAAUAUAUAAGGCCACAAUGGUUGAAGAGGAUAAGAUCAAUGGGGGACAGAGAGAACAGGAGUGCGCUGCUGCUGGUUUUGUGCUUUCCGUUGCCAUUUCCCCGAUACCAGCGGCUAAUGCCGUUUGUUUAUUGGCUUCCACUUGACUGAACGCGACACAGCGAAGUAGAUUGGCGGCGUGUGCCAACGCACGUACCUGGGUAAGGUUCUUCUGUCCUGUAUGUAUAAUAUGCGUUUGUAUACGAGUAAAAUAUACGUUUAUACGGUGGUAUUAAUAUAUAUAUAUAUAUAUAUAUAUAUAUAUAUAUAUGUGAAUAAACAAUGGUUGUUAGAAUUAAAUGAGAGAUAAAAAUAAUAAAUAAAAAUAUAUCAUAAUUCCAUUUCAUGAACUCCAUAAAAAAUUCACCAUUCACUGCAAAAUCUGUUCAUCGUAAUAGAGAUGAUAGAAACCUCAACAACAAGUAAUUGCGUCUUAUUUGGGUCCCCAGCAGUCCAGGUACAUGAUCUUGGCCAUGGACUCCUCGGUGCGCUUGGCUCUCUCCACCGCUCCCUCCCCUCCUUUCCUCCACCUAUCGAUGGAGGAAGACAUCCUGUUGGUCUGAGAGAACGGCGCAAUGCUGUGCUUGGCACGGUGGUGGAGGGACCUCAGCGCGUAGUUCCACCGGCACAACCCUGCCUGGUCCUUGAGCGCCUCCACCGCCGCCACGCACGCUGCGACCAUCAACGAAGUCUUGCUCGCCGAAGCCAUGCUUGCUUGUUACCGCUGAGCUGCUCUGGAUCUCCGAGGAGAUGGCAGUGAAAAGGGCUUUUGUGUGAUCUUGGAGCUUUGGGUGGGUGAUAGACGACAAUGAGGGAGAAGAGCCGCGAGUCCAUAUAAAGCGCAGCUCGCAGCUGGCAGCUGGCUGUUACCGACAGGGAUACAAAACUGUGGAUGAGUUGCAGCUGGGUUUUGAUUACCAGCGAUGGAACACGAGAAAAAGGUUUUGCUCGGCUUGCUAGGUAGUGCAAAACCAUGAAACUUGUGCGGGCACCUGAAGUAGCCAUGGACCGAAACCAGCAGCAAAAAUGGUGGGUUUGGAUCACGGUGGACUGAAACCAAUAGGCGAGUGAAGGCGGUAAACCACCGCAGACAGCGUGCUCGGCACGAACUCGACUGCCUCGGUCACGCGGCGUAGUACGAUUCCUCAAAGUCAGGCUCACCUGUCCAUGUUCGACGAAAUGACAAGCGGCCCUCGGCGAUAGCUCAAUUCGGCCAUUUUAAAUCCUAGCAAGCGUCCAUGCACACCUCAGAUCGGCGGAGAAACAGGUGAUGCAACCUCACAUCCAUGUGACGACGAGUCAUUGCGUCUCCUGUCGCUGACUUGCAUAAUAAACGUACACAAACAGACCUUGAACGAGGCGAAACUCUUCUCUCUCUCUCUCUCUCUCUCUCUGAUUGUGGACUCGGAUGUCCACAGGAAGGUGCGUAAGCCAUGGGCGACGCCAGAACGAGUUGCCUUCAAAAGUACAUAAGGCAAAGCAUAACUUUUGUUCGUAAACAGGGAGUAAUAAAAGGAGCAAGUGGGUUGCUGCCGGUGGAUUAAUUCAAAUAGCGGCUGAUACAGUAGAAUAAGCACGUUGUGCUACCCCCACCACAAAGCACGUUGUGGCAGCUCUUGCCGAGCAUUUAAGCUCGAGUCUGCCUCAACAGCGGGGCGGUCAUCAACAAAAAGGAAGAAGCAUGUGCAAGGCGCGGGACUGCAGGUGGGAGGCCACCUUCCGGUCGGUGCAGAAGAAGAGCGCCGGGAAGCUGCAGGACGAGGCGAGAGAGGCACAGCGGUCCCCCGACGGCGCGCCAGGUAAUGCGGGAGCCGCCUCGUUUGGCGGGGAGAGGAAGAGGAAGGGCACGGUGGUUGUGAGGGAGAAGGAGAGGGCGGAGAUGGCGAUGCAGUUGAUCCUCUGGGGGCCCAACUAGCAGUGUAUUUGCCGGUUAAUAUGCUUCCUUGUUCCCUCGACCUAUCAUAAUUCUUUGUUUUGGUUCGCCAUCACAAAUGAUUUCUUGGGUGCUCAUUUGACAAACCAUUUGAUUUGAUUUGAUUCGAGGCUUGUGUGAAGUUUUUUUUUUAUUUAAAGAAAAAAAGGAAUUAAAAGCUUUAAUAAUGAAGUCGAAAGAAAUAAUCCAUACUUUUUUUUUCUAUAAUUUUUAAAAGGAUUUAUGAUUGAUGUUCGUUCCCUUUUCUCGUAUCAAUGUUAAUGAUGGAAGAACCUUAAUUGUGUCUUUCUCUAAUAAUAAAAUUUUGAAAUAUCUUAAAUUCUUAGAUAGGAAAAGAGUUUUGGCCCAAAUUGAUAAAUCAUUUUCGACCCAUAUCACUUUAUAAUAAUAAUUAUAGGAUCUUGGCUAAUAUCCUUAUAAACUGUAUCAAGGCUCACCUUUAUAAUCUCAUUUCUGUUGAACAAUCCGUGUUCAUUAAGGGUAAAAGUAUUUACGAUAAUAAGUUCUCUACUCACUUGAUAACUCUAAAGGUAAAUAUCAUUUUAUUAUGAGCAAAUUGGAUUGAAAAUGCUUGUAUUUCUUAAAAUAAUAUUAAACAAAUAGUACACACAUUUUUUUUAUCAAAUCUUUAAAUGCAUAUCAUGUCCUUGUCCUAAGUUUAAACAUGUAAAUGUUUCAUCCGACCCACAUAAACAAGAGUUUAAAGAAUAUUUUAUAAAAUAUUUUAUCUUUAUGAAAUAGGGGGGCGUCUGAUCUUUUUUGACCACUCGCGUUUAUACUCGAAGACUUAAGAUUACUAACUUAAGUGUUAGAUGGACUAGGUCGGGAAUCCUUUCUCAACCUCGAUCAUUGUGUAGGUGAUACCUCGAGAGUUCAACGUUUUCACCUUGGAGGCAUCUUUGACAACUUUGUGCAUAUGAGUCUAGCCUAUGUCAGAUUGACCAAGAUGUCAAUAAUAUUUUUUCUUAUCAUUUUGGCAUUAGAAGGGUGGUUUGAUGUUAUAGGAACGUCCACCUAUCAAUGUUCCUAAUGCGUGCUUGAGUGAGGAGGCAUUGCCCUCGACCCACAAUAUUUUUACUUAAGGGGGGCAGCAAUUAUCCUUUCUAUAAGUGGAUGCAUUCACUUUGGUGCAAACGCUAAUGCGAUACUAGCAUAUAUUCAAUGACCCGAGUCUUUUAUCCCGAGGGCAACCCCGAGUCACUUGGUCAUCCCUGCUGAGAUGUCUUGAACCUCACUUAGCAGAUGUAGACGCUAAUGGGCAAGAUGCAAGUUGUCGCUUCACUCUUGCCCUGGCUAGCCCAAUCGCUGACACCAUUAUCUCAACUCAAUCGCCACCGGUACUGGCGCUCGUCGGGUCCCCCCACCCAAUGUAAUGCCAACAUCUCAAGAGCGCCCAAGGCCCGUCGAACCGUCAACCAACGGAGCACCCCACUCCUCAACUAUGGAGUUCAAUGGACUAUCGCACUACUAUUUUACUUCACUUAAAUUCGAGACCUAGUUAAUAGAUUUGAUGGAUGAUUAUUUGAGGAUCCAGCUAUGGUAAAUAAAUCGACAUUUGGAGGAGAUGUGAUGAAAAUUCCAAUAAUCCAUAGGAGAAGGACCGACCAACCCCACCUUAAGUCAGUCGUCAUUCACCUAAGACAUUCAAGAGGAGUCGAUCAUGCCCAAUUUUUGCCUCCCAUCAUUGGAGGACUUUGACGAUAGUAUCGACCCGGUGGAGCACAUCGUUGCUUUUCGUGCCCAAAUAUCAUUAUAUGACACUUCAUAUAUCAUAAUGUGACAUACUUUCUUAACCUUGUUAAGGCCGAACACAAGAAUGAUACCCCCAUAUGAAGUCGCUCUCUAUCAGUUCUUUUGUUUAGCUCACAAGGGAGUUCUAACUUCACUUCCUCGAGAAUGUGCACUCGAGACCAUUUGUGAUAAUGUUUCUCGGAUUUAGGCAAGGGGAGGAGGAAACCCUCAGACUUUAUUGCUCGAUUCACUUGUGAAAUCCGAAGCAUUGAAGAUGCUCAUCGUCACUCGUAAUAUAAGUCUUCUUGAUGGGACUCAAGUCUUCUCGUCUUUUCUGGUCAUUAAUAGAAAGGCCACCAGCAACGAUACUCGAGGUACUCCAAAGGAUCGAUCAAUAUAUUGCCAUUGAGGGAAUAAUCUCAAGUAAAUGUGAGGAGAUACGCAAAAGGCCAAGAUAAGAGCAACUACAAUUCGCCCUAACCCCAAGGUCACUACGACGAAGAAAAAGCAAACAACCCAAGUUGCAUUGCCCGAGGGUUGAACAAACCCCCUGAAUAUAACUAGAAUUGAAAUAUUUUUAUAGAUAAAAGAGAAGAAACUCUUAAAAGACUCUCAAUAAGAUUUUGUUAUGUUUGUGAUCCUUUCGACUAGUCUAAUCAAGGUCUUCCAUACUCAAUAUAAAUUGUAUAUNNNNNNNNNNNNNNNNNNNNAUAUAUAUAUAUAUAUAAUGCACUACGAAGAACCAAGUGAAACGUCUUCAAAGUUAUUUAAGCGAAGCAAAAGUAAUUUAUGUAAAGCAUGAAAACAAAUCAAUAAAAUGGAAUUAUUUUAUGAGGAUAAGACGAGUAUUAGAGUGAUCGUGUGAUGAUCACUUGGACAGAGGUUCGAUAAGCCCCAAUACAACAUUGCACAGAUUCGUAAACUCCGUAUUCAUCUCGGUGAGGGUAGCCUUAUCCGGCAAAGCCACGUCCCCACACGCUUCCGAGCACGUCUGUGCGUCGGCGAUAGCCGCGCUCACCCACUUGUUGACGUUGGCGUAUCCUUUAUCUUCCAUCGCUCCCGUGGAGUCGUCCAGCUGCUCCACCGCGUCCACGUAGGACUCGGAGCAGUCGUCGAGGCACUGGUGCCAUGACGAAUCGUUGACGGCCCCCUCCAGACCCUUGGAGACGUAAGUGGAUGCGGCCGUGGCCGACUCCGCCGCCACCCUGAUGGCGAGCUCGGCCAGGCCAUGCUCAUCGGUGCUUUGGCUCUCCGGCUUCUGGGACAGGGACUCGACGCACAGAUCGGGGAACGACGUGCGGCCGCAUGCCUCCUGGAUUACCGACGCGGUGGUGCUUCCGGUGAAGGAUGCGAUGGCGAGGACGAGACAGAGAGGGAGGAGAAAGGAUCCGAUGGUCGCCAUGUCUUUUAGCUACCACCUGUUUCUCCUUGUGAAGAGGGGCAGAAGCUGUGUUUUAUAUAAGGGAGGCCCGCGUCGCAGGGGAGGGAGCAAAAGGUGGGGAGACCACAAGGACUCGCUCAAAGGGUAGCUGUUGACGUUGCAAAUCUGUUCGAGCAAAUGUCCGAGAAACACGGUGGCUUAAACCACAGAGCGGCCAUCAUCCUAUAGAGCGGAGGACCCGAUAAAUGUUGGCUUUGCUGAUCUUAGUUAUCGGUUCCAUCAACCAUAUAGAGACGAGAUGAGAAAUGGCACACAUUUUGGUGGAGUUAAGGAGAGAAAACAUCUCGGAGAUGCUCAUCCAUGAAUGCCAUGAAAAGGCAGCAUCAACAUCCUCCAAGAAUUCAGAAGAAAUGAGAAUGAUUUUGCAAAGGAGGCAUCAGAUGAUGAGAAAAAGAUGCUCUAAUUGGGACCCCAGCAGCUAAAUUUACUACAUGACUGUUCGUAGUGUCUCCUCUGACUGCUUGGCCUGAGACGAUGACCCCUCGGCGGUGGUUCUUCCCACGCUGCUGCAGACACCUGAGGACGUAGUUCAUCCUCGAGCGCUUCCACCGCGUUCAUGCAUGCUCUCUGCCACCACCAAAGAAGCCUCGCUUGUACUACCCAUAUCUUCAGCAACUCUCGAGUGCAUGCAAAGAAGAUCCAAAGUGGAACUAAAUCGUAACACACACACACACACUCUCUCUCUCUCUCUCGAUUUGAUGCAGAAUUAAGUAGGAAGGGAAGCGUGUCCAACAUAUAAGGCUAAAUUGAUUUAAGAGGAUUAGAGAAGACAGUGGCUUAUACUGUUUGUUUAUUUGCUUCCACUUGAUUGAACUGAGUCCAGCGAGAGGGAUGCAGAGGAGUUUGACAGAAUGUACAAAGGCAGACUAGUAGGUGAUGUGUUUCUAUGUUGGUAUUAACGGUGAGCAUGAUAUAUAUAUUUAUACUGAAUUUAUGUGUAAGUACUGCAUGUAUUUUAGACAUUCUUUCUUUUUGAUUUAGUUCUUAUCCUCCUACUGCUAAUAAGAACAUAUAAAAUUGAAGUUUGUGUCCUUUGUAAACUGCUGUUUUGUAUAUGCUUUCAAGGAAGUCAAUGAGGAUUUGAGUAUUUCAUGACCAUAUAUUUUUAUUUGCAUCUCUUUAGCAUGGUAGGAACAUCAAUAUGGUUUGACCUCAGAUGCUUUGCUGGUAGAAAUUAAACAUCAUGCACAGUAGGUUCUUCAUUCUGAUGCAUAAUUAGCUAGUUUCCUUCAUUUGAUUAGCAACUGAAAUAGAAUCAUCAUCAUACUACUUGCAUAAUCAUAGCAAUUACUAUCAACAGAGUUUACUGUUGACAGAACAUUUUGGUUGGGAGUUUCCUGUUGAGAGAUGAAGAUGUUGAGAUGGCUCUGUCAACAGCUGCAGCUAUGAGCAGUUGGGAACAAAGACAUGACACCUCCCAGGUUAGAGAGAGAAGAAGCUUCCUACUUGUCUCAACAGCGAAGGACCAACUGCUCCAUGGCACUUCAAAUGGGUAGCAGCAGUAGGAAGUAGUUUUCAUGUUAAUGCUGGGCGUCAGAUAUAUUUGUAUUGAUGUGAGGAGGAAACCUUCCGCAUAUCGUGAACUUAAUGCAUUCAUUCGUAUUGAAUGCCUCUCCUUCUCCGUUUCCGGCCGUUGAAGUGACGGCUCACAUCUCUCCUUCACCUUUCCUUGCGCUCCACUCCAACCCACCCUCUCCCACCUCACCUGAUAGCUCCACCUCCCCACCAUAAAAGCGUCCUUGAUCUAGCUCACUUUUACCCUUUGAUCCAACGUUCUUCGGCGUUUGCCUCCCAUUAGUUUAUGUCCUCUUGGAUCAUCCAGAGCAAGCCCCUCAACGCCCCUCGGAGCUCUUCCAAUGUGAGCUGCCCACGCUGUGCUCGAGGGUUGGCCGUUUUCUAGUGUUUUGGAAUUAGUCCACGAUCACAAGGAGAAUUCGGAUGAGGUGUCCCUCGACAAACGGUGCAGGAUAGCGGUGAUGGGAAAGAUGGUAGGCUCCGCGACCAACCCACGAGCGCUUAGGCCGGUGGUGUUCCCCGUCAAUGCCGACUCCAACUCUGGUGUCUCUAGCGACCAGACGACUGUCUUUGCAGCCGUCAGCUCGGAUGGCGGGAGCAUGGCAGGGACCGAGUUCGGGUGCCGGGAGGACGUGGAGAGACUUUUGGCCGAGAAGAUGAAGGGAAAGAGGACAGACUAUAAGGUGGAAAGUAAAAUGUUUUCUUAUUCUAUACAAUCCUAAUUAUUCUUUUACUGAUUUUUCAUAAUUUUUUGUAUUAUUUUGUCGAUCGAUUAUGUAGGGGAAGAGUGAGCUGAUGAUAGAAUACAUUAAAAGACUUCGAAUUUGUGUCAGAUGGUACAUGGAGCUGGAAGAUGGCUACAUGGAGGAGCAAGCGAAGCUUCGAAAUAUGUUGGGCUCUGAAGAGAAAAGGCACGGAGAGCUUGGUAUUUACCAAUGCUUCUGUUUGACUUGGCAGAAGGAAUUCAAAAUCACUUUUUUGGUUCAGAUUUAUGAUUUACCAUGUGCAUUUUUCAUGCUCGAGACCUGAUAGCUCGGUCCUAUCUCAUCUUUCCCUAGAGUUCCAACUGAGGGCAAAGAUGGAUGAACUGGAUGCGACAUCGAGGGAGCUUCGAGAACAGAAUUCUUCCUUGCAACACAAGUUCACAAACGAAGAAUUAGAGAAAUUGGUGGGAGUGCUGAAGAUGCUCAAGUAAAUUAGCAAAUCGAGUUUGGUAGUCCUUAAUUGCAACUUACAAAAUUUCGCAGGCUGCUGUUAAAUCUUAUGAGAAUGAAAGAGAAGCGAGGGUUGCAGCUGAGAAUUCUCGAGAUGCUCUGUCCACAGACCUUGAAAGAGUCACCCAAGAGAAAAAACGUUUGAGUGACCAGGUACAUUGCUCCCUAGAGUGAAAUUAAGAGGAUUCUUUUGAUGAUGAUCCAUAUAAACUCUUUUUUCAUAUAAUUUUUCAGUUAAAAAUGCUGCAAGAAACGAAUAGGAGAUUACAAGAGUACAAUACCAGUUUGCAGCAAUACAACAGUAAUCUUCAAAAUGAGGCUAACAAAAAUGGUGAAACAAUCUCGAGGUUCCAGAAGGAGAAAAGUGUUAUAAUGGAAAGUCUGACUACUGCAAGAGACCAUGCGAAUUCACUCAAGAGUCAAUUGGACGCAUCUAGGGUUGGUUUUAUACUUGCAUCUUUUAUUCAAAGGGAAUUCUUGAUUCAUACCUUCAAUUUUUUUUUUGUCUACUUUCCCUCACAUUUAUUUGGUCGAUCUCAAUACUUUUGUUUCAUUUGAAGAUUAAGGAUCUUGGAGGUUUCACUUUGUUUUACUGCUGAGUGGUAUACUAUAAUGUCGCUUCCAGUGUCUACAACUUACUCCGUUCAUAUUCCUUAGUUUGCUAAAUUCUUUUUGUUUCUGAAUCUCAUUAAUUGGUUUGUGAUCAUUUUAUGUUAUGUAUGGUAGUUCCUAAUCGUACAGCUAUAAACUUAUCUCAUUGUUAUGCCCUUAUGCGUGAGUUCUUUAUCACUUAACAUUCUGUCAAUUUGUAACCUCUGAACCAUUACAAGCACAUGUUUUACUUGAUUCUAAAUCAAUUAAAGGGUCUGAUGUCUUUUUGAGCAAUUUGCAAGGAACAGAGGAUUUGCAAAGAGAAUAUCUUGUAGGAUUUGACAUUGUGACAUAUUUGAACUUUAUCGUUGCCCUUUGGGUUAUCGCAAAUAUUAUUUCUAGGACUUUCACAUUUUUUAGUCUUUAUGGUCACACAUUUUGUGAUUACUCUACCUAUGUCAGUUGUCGAUUUAGUCAAAUCUUGUAAUUCUUUUUAUUUUGCUUCUGUUUCAGUCUUCUCAGCAAAAGGCCAUGAAACUGAAAGAAGAAUUAAGAAAGGAAGUUAGUUGCCUCAGAAUUGAACUCCAGCAAGUACGAGAUGACCGUGACCAUUUAUCAACACAAGCGCAAAGUUUGACCUUUGAAGUUGAAAAUUACAGAGAACUUACUAAAAAAUCAACAAAAGAUUUGGAUUAUAUAACUCUAAAGAUUAUUGCUCUUGAGGUUUGUUUUCAUAUGAAGUUAGUUACAUCCUCAUGUAUUUUGUUACUCUUACAGUAAUGUGAUAUUAUCUUUUCUUUAUUACUUAUAGAAGACAUGCUCAUCCCAAAGAGGAAAAAUACAACUCUUAGAGGAUCAGCUUGCUGCUUCCAGUGAGAAGCUGAAGGUAAGUAGUAUUAAGAUUUUUCAAUUAGUAUCAUCACGUUGUGACAGUGUAGUAUUAUUUUCCAUUGCAUUUAUGUGAGAUAAAUAGGUACGUUACAUUUGGUUGUAGAAAUAUGAGUUAUAAUAUAAAAUCAGGGUUUUUAUUUUCUAGUCUGUGACAUCUUUGCUCCUUUUCUAGAGAGCUGACUUGACAACCAUCGAGACAAUGACAGAGUAUGAAGAGCUGAAAAGAACUGUCGAUGAUUUGCAAGAUCGUCUCACAGAGGCAGAGUUUCAAAUAGUUGAAGCUGAGAAACUCCGUAAAAAACUGCAUAACACCAUAUUGGUACAUAUGCUACUGUGUUUAACAAAUACAUUAUGAACUUCUAGUGCUGAACUUUCUUUUGGCAGGAACUUAAAGGGAAUAUUCGAGUAUUCUGCAGAGUUCGACCUCUUUUACCUGAUUCUGAUUUAAAUGACACAGAUAGAGAAGUUGUUUCUUAUCCGACAUCCAUCGAAUAUCUUGGGCGUGGCAUUGACUUGACACAUAAUGGUGUGAUAUGCCUUUGUAUUUUAUUAACAUAGGAUACCACAUUCAUAUUGAUGUUCUAUAUUCUUUGUAUCAUGAAUAACACAUAAUAUUUAUGACAUUUGAUCAGCUCAGAUGUAUACUUUCACUUUUGACAAAGUAUUCAAUCAUGAAGCUUCACAAGAAGAUGUAUUUGUAGAAAUCUCACAGCUAGUUCAGAGUGCACUUGAUGGCUAUAAGGUGCUUUAUUUAAUAUGUUAAACUGUAUUGUUCAUUGAUAUUUAUUUCAAUUAUUAUUGGUAUAUAUUUGUAAUUUGAUUGAUGACUAAGAAUGCUUCUUGUUGUCUACUGUAGGUUUGUAUAUUUGCAUAUGGGCAAACUGGUUCUGGUAAAACUUACACUAUGAUGGGCAAUACUGGAUGUGCUGAACAAAAAGGUCUUAUACCGCGGUCGUUAGAGCAAAUAUUCCAAACUAGUCAAUCUCUGCAAUGCCAAGGUUGGAAAUACAAGAUGCAGGUAAGCUUAUACUCUUGUUAUGUUCAGCUAUACCUAUCGCUUAGUCUUUUUCUUCAUCAAUUUGCAUGACUUUAUUUUUUUUAUUGUGAUUGAUUCAUUUCUUUUUCAGGCAUCCAUGCUGGAAAUAUAUAAUGAAACAAUUCGUGAUUUGUUGUCACCUAGUCGCCCUAGUGAUGGUCUUUGUAAACAAUACACGAUCAAACACGAUUCUAAUGGUAAUACGAUCAUAUCUGAUCUUACUAUUGUAGAUGUUUGUAGCAUCAAAGAAGUUUCAUUCCUCCUACAACAAGCUGCACAGAGCAGGUAAAUCUUGUCGAUGUCCUUGUCCAAUGACUUCUUUUGAAGACUUGUAAAAUGAAAUCAUUUUUAUUUAAUUGGUUAUGUGCAAAGCUCACAUAUAAAAGAUGCAUAUACUGUAAGUUUUCUUUCUUAGAUGUAAUAUAUCUUAAAACCUGAUGAAAUUAUUUGAUGAGUGUUUUUUUAACUGAAUUUAUUUCCUUGAAUCAUUGAGUUACUACCUAAUUAAAAUACUUUUUGACGAUCAGACUGAGCAGUAUAUAACUGAAACUAAGUAAAAGAUGUUCCUCAUCUUAUGUUUACUAUAAGCUUAUAGGUACUUGCUACAUUACUCAAUGCUGCUGUUCCUCGUGGAUUUCUUAUCAAGAAGUUCUAAUAAUUUUUCUAGAAAAUUUGUCCAUUUAAAAAAAGAAAUUAAAACAAAAAGGAGGAGGAGGCAUAUACCAAAUGGUUUAUUUCAAAAGAAGUUAAAAUGUAACAACUACAUGUUUCCAUUCAUCUAUGUGAAUGUUGGACACUCAAAAUGGCUGAGCUACACAUAUUCACCCACUGUUUCUCUAGAACUUUGUGCUUUUAUAUCAUUUAUAUACUGAAUCCUAAUAUCAAAAUGCAUUAGUGUUUUGUGCUAAAAUAUUUAUUAGAAUUUUUUAUUUUAUUUUUUGUGGUGUCUUUGUUGAUGUGUUCUGUACGACACUUGGUUGAGCGAAUAAUAAGUAAAAGCCUGAGAAGAAUUUUUGAAUUUUAUGACCAGGUCUGUGGGUAGGACACAAAUGAAUGAACAAUCUUCAAGAAGUCAUUGUGUCUUCACUUUAAGGAUUUUUGGGGUUAAUGAGGUAUGUGACUUGCUAGGGCAUGCUUUCAAGCUGGUUUGUGUGAUGUUUAACACUGGUACUAAGUUACAUUCAUUUAUUUUCAGGGCACAGAACAACAGGUUCAAGGGGUACUCAACUUGAUUGAUCUUGCUGGAAGUGAGCGUCUUGCUAAAAGUGGCUCUACCGGGGAUCGCCUAAAGGAAACCCAGGUAAAAAUUGCCUUCACGCCAUUGAACUGUCCUGCGGUUUGUAUCUCAACUCACCGUUUGCUAUAUUAUUAAUGCAGGCAAUCAACAAAAGCUUGUCGGCCCUAAGCGAUGUAAUAUUUGCAAUAGGGAAGAAAGAUGAUCAUGUUCCUUUUAGGAAUUCCAAGCUAACAUACCUUUUGCAGGUAGGUUCUUGCUACCCAUUUCCACAUAUAUUUUUGCUUUGUGAUGUAAACAAACUGCUUCUGUUUGUUUGUGUGGAUACGCGGAUAAUAAAGAUAGCUGAUCAUUAGCCUUUUUCAUGAUAGCCUUGUCUUGGUGGCGACUCCAAGACAUUAAUGUUCGUCAAUAUCUCGCCAGGAGCAUCUUCGGUUGGUGAGUCUCUUUGUUCGCUUCGCUUUGCUGCUCGGGUCAACUCAUGUGAGAUUGGAAUUCCUCGACGCCAAAUUCAGAUACGAUGUUCGGACUCACGAUUGAGCUAUGGAUAAGGAGGAUUUGUUGGUGAUGUUUAUAAUUCCUCUAUGCACUAAUUUGUUGUUGCUGCUGCCAUUGUAGCAUAUUUAAUGGCCAGUGGACUCUUUAACAUCGACUUCCUGCGUGAUUUGUAUACCAAGGAACAACAUCUAUAUUGCCCGAGUUGAGUCUGUUAACUGGGAUUACUGAGUGGUGUUAUCUGUAAAAAUAGCUACACAAUUAUAUGGUCUCUUAUCUUGGAUGACUGAUUUGGUUUGAGCCUACUACCACUAUGGUGAUUUGGGAUCUUUCAGUUCAUAAAAACCCGAGAGAUAUAUUGCUAUGAAAUCGAAAUGAUUGAAGUUCUGCAUUGUUAAUGAACUUGUCUAGUUGUGGCCGAGGUGUUUGCACGACUUUGUUCGAUUGUCGAUGUUCUGGAUCAUCCCUGUGACUAGGCUUUCGUUGAGCUUGAUCGAGUUCGGGGUUGACUCUGCAUGCAAUUCUUCAGUCGACAUGUUGUCUGUUUUGUCGUCGCUAGGCUCUUACACAUAGGCCUAGGUCGGGAGGGAAGGGAUUUUUCGACUUGGUCCCUCCGAAUGUUAAGUCAGUAUCGAGUUGAGUUAUUUUUUUUAGAAUGAUCGCCCCUCAUUGUCGCGUUAGGUAGAGGGGGUUUUUAUGCUUGCAUCCGAGGGUUGGUCGUAUGUGAUUUGACUGUUGCGAUUGACUCCUCGGGUAGUUGACUCGUCGUAUCUUUGGGUGAUUGCUGAGCGAUCUGUGCGGGAUAGCAUCGCACGAUACUAUUCUGAGCUUUUCGAAAUGGCCUUCGAUGGUACGAUGCUUUCUCGUGCGGCUCUGGACGACAUGGGAAGGGGCGACCGUCGUCCCGAAUCUGAGGUGGCAUGUCUGACAUGACACUCAAUCUUAAUCUCGAGACUCCACGUCCGUAACAUUGUUUGCUUACCGUGUCCACGAGAGUAAUACCAUGCAUGAGGUCAAAUUUCAUAAUUUUUGGGAUGUCAUUUGAAAGAUUUUGUUCCUGGAAGUUCACUUUUAUUGUUACAUUAUCUCAGCAAAAAUCAUUGGCUUCUAAAGAGCCUGUUGGUGUUCUUGAGAUGCUCAGUUGGCAUUUUGAAGCCAUCUUUUCUUCGGUGGAGACGACAAGCAGGCAGGAGCCCGUGCACCAGCCUUAUCUACAGACCAGAAUGGUACAAAGUAAUAACUAUAGUGAGCAUCAUGACAGGAUCCAGAAAAUUCUGGACAUCCCAUCGUUUCUUGGAUUAGCCUUCGGAGUGCCAGAUAUAUGGAUACCGGAGAACAACAGCCCCUUGGUUUGCUGUGGACCCUCUUCCUGGGAUUAGAUGUUUGGUGCUAUCCACAACAGGACAUCUGGUUUCCACUUUCAUACCGCAGCCACAUCCCAUCUCUCUAUAAACAUCCACCAACCCCUUGCGAAGAAGUGGACCAAUAAUAAGCUUACGGUCAUGGAAGGCCAACCGCAGGAGCAGGAGCAGCAGCAGCAGCAUCCCAAGUCCAGGGUUGUGAAGGUGGAUUCAGAGGAGUCAUGGUACCUCUUCAUCACCCAAGCCAACAACCAAGGAUGUCCUGUAAGCAAGCUCUUCUGGUCUGUCGAUUUACCUGGUUCUGAGUCAAUCUGUUACUCAUAGUUCAUGGUUAACAUUCUUCAUUGCUACUGAAUCACUCUCUCUCUCUCUCUGAAGCUCUACCGAGAAAUUAAACAUCUAGGUUUUCUCUUCCGUGGCUUCAGAAAGCCUGAAACCUCUAAUCUCUCCCUGGGUUCCUUUCCCCCAUCUGCUUUCGGAUGUUUUCAAUGGACUCAAAAGGAUUGACUUGCAAAUAUUGGGCACAGAUCUCUAAGCUGAGAACGAAGGAAGAAGACAGUUUACCAGCUGAGGAUUGCUGGUCACAGAAUGAUGAAGCUAAUAAUAAUGCAUGGAAUUUUGAUUAUAUCUAUCUUUUCAUUUGUGUGCAGGUUUUUGUCCACUUUGGUGCCUCGUGGUGUGUUCCAUCCCUCGCCAUGAACUCAUUCUUCGAGGAGCUGGCCUUGACUUACCAGGACAUCCUGUUUCUCGUGGUCGAUGUUGAUGAAGUCAAGGUACGGUUUAUGACCUCGGUAGCCAUGAUCCUGAGGAAGAUCAUGUGGGCUGUUGAUGGUAGUACGAGUGGUCUACCUAAUCUUCACCUACCAUUUUCCUGUGGGCUGUUUCUUCCGAGUGCAGCAGCACUUCUCCAAAACCUUGUGCUACUUGAAACUGAUAUAUAUAUGCUUGUCAUGAACAUCUUUGUUUGUGCUACUUUAAUCUGAAAUAUUAUCAUACGCAUCUUCAAUUGAAAAUUUACAGGGGGUUGCCUCUAAGAUGGAGGUGAAGGCGAUGCCCACCUUUGUACUGAUGAGGGAUGGCGCAGUGCUAGACAAGAUUGUCGGGGCCAAUCCGGAGGAGAUAAGGAAGAGGAUCGAUGGUUUCGUUCAAUCUUUUCGUCGCCCAAAUAUGGUCGACUAGUUAGAGUUCACUGCAAAUAGACCCACCCACCCUGUUCCUUGCUCUAACUACAGCAUGUAGUGUUCUUAAGUAAUGUGUGGCUACCUAUAUCUGAUGCUGGUUUCGCUAUGUUGCACUUGCAAACCAGGGAAAGCUUAAAGAGUUGGUCGGUGCCAAAUGACGAACCUUAUACAGACAGCAGUGCAAUCAACUCUCAUUCAGCACCUGGACAUGAAUCGGUGGUUUCUGUACAUGUAGUGAUCUGUAUGCAGUUGAGAUGAUAAUUUCAGGAUGGAUCGUUCUCUUUCGUGAUUAGUGUAUGUGUUUUUUUGGUCUUUGGGAUUGUGCACACAGAAUUCCUACUCUCUGGAUUUUGGCAUCCGUGAAACCAUUUGAAGUGGCCAAUGGAAGCAGAGGAACAUGCAGGCUGAUGUGGGUUUGUGGUGGAAUGUGACAAACCAUGAUCCAGAUAAGAUCUAUUGCAGGUGAAGUGUCGACGUGGUGUGCUCUGUACCUUCUACACACUCAUCUGUCACUUUCUUUCACAGGAAAUGCCAUGGACUCUGUUCGGCCAACAGCUGAGGUUACAAUGGAAGGUGACGCGGAUUGCCAUCCCAGCGCUCAUGUUUGACUAAAUCUUAAAGAUCAGACAUAUCGAUGAAUUGAUUCGGACCCACUGCCCGGAACUUAUCUGCGUUAUCGAAGAAUCGACUGCAUCGAUCUUAUUCCUCCUCUUAGAACAUUCUUUUCUUUCGCAUCGUUUAUCUCGAAUCAAUCCUCUGAAUCAUAUUCUUUUUCUUCUUUACCAUGGAAUGCUCGACAACCGCAUUUUUCUAAUGCGAUCUUUAUCCUAAACUUGUGACGAUUAAGAUAUAAUAUAAAAUUACUACUAAUCUAUCAUCGAAUGCGUGACCGUCCGAAUCAUAAUUAAGAUUAUCCGUGAACGGGAACGAAGAAGGCGGGUGGGGUGGAUUCAUGCAUCUGCCGGCUCACAGGGGGGACGCACCGGGAAGUCUUUGAUGUCGUCCGACCACGUGUGUGGUGAUCGAUCAUCACAAGAAUCGGAUGUAUUUGGGCAAUCUCACGCGAGGAGAUGGCUAUAAAUGACGCUGCUCCGUUUCCUCCCAUCGUCGGAAGCAUUGCCGGUUCCCUGUCCUCCUCAUCCGCUCAAGGUAUGUAUGUGUUGGUCCAUCUUCUAGCACUUGGUUGUUUUGUGUGGGGCUACUAUUAUUGUUCUGUUAACAGGUCUCAUAUGAUCGUCUUCCUCUGUUUGAAUUGUUUAGAGCAAAUGUGAAUCCUAUUCACGAAAGUUAACUGCUAAAUUAUCGUUGAUCUUCUGGUUGUCUUUUGUCGUCUUAGAUCUGAAUUGAUGAUGGUGGUUUCUCUUGAUAUGAUGCUGACUCCUUUUUUGAUCUCUUCGUUCCAGAUGCAGAUCUUCGUUAAAACUCUCACCGGCAANNNNNNNNNNNNNNNNNNNNUUCACCUCGUGCUGAGGCUUAGGGGAGGCAUGCAGAUCUUUGUUAAGACCCUCACCGGGAAGACCAUUACCUUGGAGGUGGAGAGCUCGGACACGAUCGACAACGUCAAGGCGAAGAUCCAGGACAAGGAGGGGAUUCCACCGGAUCAGCAGAGGCUCAUCUUCGCUGGGAAGCAGCUAGAGGACGGCCGCACCCUGGCAGAUUACAACAUUCAGAAGGAAUCCACCCUUCACCUGGUGCUCCGCCUCCGCGGUGGUCGCUAAGCCGUUUGGCUUGUUUGUGUCCGAUGCUUUGGUGUCAUCGUCGUUCCGUCUGUCGUUGGCAUGCAUGCAAGUCCGUCCAGAAAGUGGAAUAAGCGUUCGUGAAAUGUCUCUCGUGUCUGUGCGUUGUUUGUUUUGUCAUUUCAAUAAUUACUUGUGGCUAUCGUUGUGUUCAGUGGUAUUAUUGUAUCAACCCAAGUGAACAAUGUGUAUUUUGUCUAAUUGGCCUCUCUCUUGUUGUUCCCAGUCUACCUAUGGUUUCAUUUACGGAUCGCUUUUGAGAAAAUUGAUAUUUAUAUUUUAUUGAAAAGUCAAUACACAUUGCUUUUGAGAAUAUCACGUGAAGAUUAAAGAAGAAAAUAUUGUAAAUGAAGAAUAUUUUUAUAAUGCUACUAACGAAGAUUAGGGCAAAUGCUUUAUAAUAAAAAUUAUUGAGGUAAUGACAUCUAUCAACUUUGAAAAUGAUUGGAUUGUUGAUUUAGAAUGUGGUCAUCAUCUUAAUAUCAAAUUCACUAAUAUCCGUCAAUAUAAAGAUAAUGAUACAAUUAUCAUGAUAGAUAAUACUAUUCACCAAGUUAAAAAGGAAGGCAUCGUGAUAAUCUCUAAUUUGCACAACUCUAUUCUUAAAUUUGAUCGUCAUAUGGAUGUUGAGCCUUCUACACGAAGUCUAGUUAGAGAUUUCAAUGAUAUUUUAUCUAGUAAGUUUGGAUCAAGCUUUGGGUCAAGAGGUAUUCGUUUCCGAACGAAGCAACUUGAUUCAGGUAGAUUUUCGAAUAGUAUAAGAAAGCAUAUGGAUGGUAACAUUCACAUGCACCUUAAAGAAUACUUUGGUCGAAGUCAUAUUUCUACAGGUGAUUCUAUGCUUGGUGGUGGUUAUGAGCGUGACUUUGCAAAGAAGCCGAGACUUAUCUCCAAGAGUAUACUCCAAGGAGAAAUGUUAAAAAGUUAAAGUAUAUUUUAAAAAAUUAUAAGUUAAUAUUUUACUUUUUUAAUAAGAUUAGAUAGAGUUAGAAGGAUAAUAAAUUCUUAGUUUAAAAAGUUAAAAAUAUAUUUUGAUAGAUUUCAAAUUGAUAUUUUAUCUUUUAAAUAAGAUUAGAUAUAGUUGAAGAGAUUAGGAACUCUUGCAUUUCAUAUCUAUAAAUAGGGGGUAUCUACGAAGUCUCAAGUAUUCAAGCUAAUAAGGCUAAAGUCAAGUCAUACAAGAUAUAUAAAUAUUUCUCUUCUUGGUAAGUUCAGUAAAGUUUCUCUUUUUCAUCUUGAUUUUUUUUUCAUUUGAUUUAGUUUUUAGUUAUUAGCUAUUAUUUAAGAAAGGGUUACACUUUGAGAUAUGAUGGACUGAUUACUUUGAUCAUUCUCUCAUUGAAUUGUGAUUUGUUAAUUGGACUUGGUUGAAUCAUAACAAUGAACAUAUUUCAACUGGUCAUAUGUAUACAAUUGUAUACAUUUUUAUCUAAUCACCCUUAGCAAUUUACUGUUGAUAUAGUGAGAUGAGAACAAGUUGGAAGGCCAUCAAAAUGAAAUUGGUCUCUCGAAGAACAUGAUCCUGAUUCAUUUGGAUCAAAAGGAAGGCCAUCAAAAUGCAAGGACACCACCUGUUUCUCAUCAGCCAGAAAGGACGAUUGAGGAUGAUAAGAACAAAGGAAAGAUCCUGUUAAUGCUUGUUAGAUCGAAUACUUAGAUCCCCAAAGAACAACACACUGCAACAGUUCAUUUAUUUUUGAGAUCCCACAGCAUAAAUUGCUCGAGAACACCAAUCUCAGCUGUUUAUGACCGCACAGUUCCUUCUGAUUUCACCUGAAGAGCCCGUCUUGACUCCGAUGCUGCCCAUCUUCUCCAUGGACAUCGCGAACCCGGCGAAGAAUGUCUGCGGAGGGCUGUCGACGAGAUCGACGAUGGCUGCCUUGGCCGCGGCGUCCGUGGUCAGAGCUGCGUCGGAUUCGAAGAGCCCUCUUCGCUUCAGCAGAUUCCUGUAGUAUCCAACAUCGAACGUUCUGAAACUCCCAGGAUCCAUUUCCACGAGCGUGGUCUCGUCGGUGGCGUCUCUGCACUUGUUCUUCUUCAGAUUCGUGGCGUAGAAGCCGUCCAGAGAAGGAUCUUGAUCGCCGUUCCCGGUGAAGUUGUACAGCCGGUCGCUGAAGGAUUCGCAAUGAGCAACUCCGAUCGUGUGGGCUCCUGCAACAGCAAAUCGGUCGAUGUUAGCAGACGAAGAAGCGCAAGAAAAACGUCAUUUUUCGUGUAAAAUGACGAAUCUGCAAGACACAAGUCGGCAAGAACUUAGAUCGUCAUGUGUUUGCUAUGCUGCAGCUCACCAGAGAGCAGAACAAGGUCUGCAGCAUUUAGCCCUUUAUUAGCAAAAGAAGUCUGCAGAGAGCUAAGGUUCGAUGUGGGGGCUGGAAUCUCAGAUAAUGCUUCCGUUAAAUUCGAUAUCAACCCGUCGCGACGGCCAGUCGGAACUCUCCAAAUCGGGCCUCCCUGCCGUCAGACGAACAAGAUGAGUGUCUGCAUUCAGAACAUUAGCUUGGAGCAUGGUAUGAGCUUAUCGGCAUACAAUGACUCCGACCGCGUCUCGCGUCGCCAACGCAAGAAUGUCCGCACACGAAACGAUCCCCGGGCAUUCUUCCUCCACCACGCUCUUCAGGCGAUCGAUGAAGUCGAACCCGCGGAGUGUUUGGUUCGGAGUCGCGGCCUUCUCAGCUUGGUUGGUGCUGGUUGAAUUGAUGAGCACAGAGCCAUCACAACCCUGAGAAUUGCAUCAAACAUGCCGUGAAGAAAGCAAGAUUGAGUUGAAACGAAUGCAUUACAUCGUACCCUCACAAAGCAAUCAUGGAAGUGCAUCCGAAGAAGAGAUGCUGCCACCGUUGGUGCAUUUGGGAUGUGCUCCUCCACAAAAUCUAGGAUCAUCUUCUCUGCCUUGGGGCAACUGUCGUCAUAGAAGCCCAGCUUCAGAUCAGCAUGAACACAACUCAAGAAACCCAAAAACACCAGUAUCGUCGGACCCCGAAAGCUCAUAUUACUAGUGAUUUUGCCUAAGUUUUCCUCAAGUUGCACCAAACUCUAAACAUGGAGGCAACUUUAUAGUCCUUCACGGAAUCCUCUCUGUCCACUUGCUGUUGGAGCUUCGUCCUUAAAGCAGCAAUGAGUGUGGCCUCCCUAUCACCUAUUUUACCUUUGCAGCACCUAAAGGCAAUAAAAUUAAGUCGCAAGCAGGUGAUUGUAGGACAAGUUAUCACAAGUUGGAAGCAGAAUAAGAGUCCUCAAGAAAUGGAGAUUAGUGCACAACCUGCCACACUUGUCCUAUGAGCAUUGAGGAGCUGAAGCAACAAAGCGAAGAAUAUGCUUCUUGAAUCAAAAGAACAAAAUGAUUGCAGACAAGAAAUCGAUCGAGGUACAUAAGAAAUCUGCACGCCACUAUUUCUGAGGCAAAGGAAUCUGUAGGACGAUUGAAUGAUUGAUCGAAGAGCCGUGUCCCUUCAUUCGAUCAUGCGCCUCUUGCUGUUCGCAAGAUGUGUCUGGAGUCUGUCAUCAAACGACAGAGUUGUUCUCAAGGCAAGUUUUGUUUCAGGCGCCACUCUAUCGCCGGAGACACCGAGGUGACCGUUCGAGUAAAUGUUGACAUGAUGAUUGCACACAUUUACCUUCAGCGAUUCUUCUACUUGUUGCCCCGCAUUCGUAUGAGAAUUCUUGGAUGAUUACUCAUGAUGCAUUUCUGAAGGUACGAGAGCAGGUGGGAAGUGAUGGGAGCCACAGACAACACAAAAUUCUCUUUAAGAACACACACACUUGUCGCCGAUGUAUCAAAUCCAAAAGUCUUAGUUGUUCUCCAUCGAUGGUUGAAUCAAACUGCAUCACUCUCAUCAUUUUGUCCAUAGCUUUAUAGUUCAACUGAGUUGUAGCCCAUUUGGAAAGCUACCAAAUGUGUUGUUGUUCACAUGAAAAUUAAAGUUCAUAUAGCUUACUAAUAAACCUCUGCAUGUGGGAAGCAAAAGCUAAGCUGCAAAAGGAGAUGCGAGCAUUUGCAUUACAUAUUAGUAUAGAAAUGUUACUCUAAUGCAUUGCAGUGUUCACAGGAGAAGCUUUGUGAGUAGAUGACCCUCAUGUACAUGUCUCUUCUCCAAGGAGCUUCCAUGCGGUAACUUGAACAAUGGGAGAGCUUCUGACGCACGGCUAUUGGCAUUCCAUCUGCUUUCCACUGAGACAAACCUAACAGCUUGCAGAGCAGAGGGAUCAAAUUCCAUGCUUCAGAACAGGAAAAGAGAGGCGACAUAAAGUACAGCAGAUGAAGAAAUGAUCUUUCAUGGAACAAAGACAAUUGCUUAUGUUUGCUAAAUCUUGUGAUCGAGAAAGCACAAUGCUUUUCUUUAGUUUCAGGACCGAAUGCUCCUUCGUUCACAAAGUAGAUGCAUGUUGGCCAACUCCAGUCUAAUACACGAGUCAUUAUACCUUCCUUCGAUGUGCGUAUAGCACCUCAAAGCCAUCUGCGUGCCACACUUUAUUUUGUUCCCUCAAUUCUCGAGCUCCAUCAGCAACUUCUGAAGAAGAAAGUUAUGCCAUUCUUUGAAGCAUUCCGCUCUGUUUCUCAUGAACUCCAACUUCUGCACAAGCAAGGUUCCAGCUCCUCAUGCUUCAGAUCUCGUAAAACCUUUAUGUACCUUAUCCUGGUUACCAAGAUUUGGGGCCUCUAACGAGAUGUUGACAAACAUGAAUCUCUUGGUAUCCCACCAAGGUAAGGCUAUCAUGAAUAAAGCUAAUGAUCAGACAACUACCGGUGUAUCCACACAAAUUAGAAGAAAUUUACAUCACAAAUCAGAAAUAUAUGUGAAAUUGGGUAGCAGCAACCUGCAAAAGGUAUGGUAGCUUGGAAUUCCCGACUGAGACAUGGUUUUCUUCCUUUCGUAUUGUAAAUAUUAUAUCACUCGGGGUCGACAAAGUUUUGUUAGAUUGCAUGCAUCAACAUGGGCAAAGGGUGAUACAAACUGCAGAACAAUUCAGCAGCGUGAAGUAUUGCAAUUCACUUGUAUUUCCUUUAGGUGGUACCCAGUGGAGCCACUCUUAGCAAAACACUCACUAUGAUGGCACGUGUGACACGCUAUACAUUAUUUUUUUUCUUAUAAUUAUUUAUUAUAAUUUGUUCUCAUUUUAUGUUGUCCGUUACAUAUAAUGUGAUGUCCAUGGAUCUGUGCAAUGAGAAUCGGAUUCUGAUAAGAUCAUAAUAAUGAGAUUGAUUCACCUUUAAAUACAAACACUAAAUGAUCUCAGUCAUAGGUUACUUGAGAGAUAUAUUGAGAUAACUGAAUAAAUUGAUACGCUAUAUACCCGUCUAUAUGAUGGAGGCGAUUGAUCUCAUAGCUACUUGUAUAAAGACACUAGGGAUAUCGUGCAAGUGCUUAUUGGAGAAUGAAUUCACUGAUUGAUCCACUGAUGAAAUGCUAUAUGGUUGAUGUGUUGAAUCUCGAAUUUUGAUGAUGAUAUUAAUUGAUGAGUUUACGAUCUAAUCUGUAUUUUAAGAAAAGUAAUGCAAAGGACUAGCUUUGAUCAUGAAAAGGCAAAACAAUUGAAGCAAAGGAAUCGGAUGUUGAGCUAGAGUUAAAGAUCAGGCAUCGGGCCGAAAGAAUUGGACAUGCAUCAAGAUCGAAUGUUAUGAGAGUCAACAUGCCGAUAGAUCGAGCAAUACGCCGAAAGAGAGCAUGAUGCGUCGAGAGUUUGAAUGAACUAAUAAUAUGUUGGACAACACAAGAUUAUAUGUUUUAUAAUCAUUUAAGUCAUGAUCAUCGUAGUUUUAGGUCUUAAUUGAGUUAUAUUCAAGUGUAACAAUGUUAACUCAAUUGAAGGCCCAUUGGGACUGAUUUGAGCUCAUUUGGAGGCCCAUUUAAUGACCCAAAGAAUGAGUCAAGCAAUGUAACCGCCUAUGAGCUGGAAAAGUCAAGAUCACACUUUUUUCAAGCUGUUAGGCGAUAGUACUGUCUGGACUAAGUGAUGGUACCUUCAGCAUUAAUACUGGCAGGCAACAGUAUUGCCCAAGUUGGCGGUAGUACCGCUGGAUCCCCGUCUUCGAGGCUUUGCUAAGCGGUAGUACCGCCCAGCACAGCGGUGGUACUGCUCAUACCCGGAAUACUCGAAAAUUUAAAUUUUUGGCUUUAUUUUUGAAGUCAUUUAGGACCUAUAAAUACUUCACUCAUCCCUACUAGGAAGACACAAGAAAGAGUGAACUAAAAUGCUAGUGAAUCAAAGUUGUAAUCUUGAAAAGUGUUCGAGAGUUCCUCUUAUUUUCUUCAAAAGUUUAGAAUUUUGUCUAAGGGAGGUAUUAGACUUGUAAAUGUUUUUUCCUAAACUUGUAAACAGAAGAAAGAAUUGUAAGAGAAUAGUUAGGCUUUCCCCAUUGAAAGAAGAUCGUUAGUGAACGUCGAUGGCCUCGACAAAAGAGGAAUUGAGAGUGGACGUAGGUCGCGAUGACCGAACCACUAUAAACUCGAUUUACAUUUAUAUUUUACUUUUCAUUGUAAUUAAUUAUUGAUUUAACUAUAUAUUUUACGUUUUUACGAAAACACUAAUUGACCCCCUUAGUAUCGAAACGAUCCUGACAUGAUUAUACAUCAUUGUCAGACAGUGAUUCCGUCAUCCUAUUGGUGGAUCCGGUCAUUAGACUUGAGAUACCAAAGAUGUCAUAUAUGAAUACUCCACUAUUUGAUGCUCAACUUAUAAGUAUGAAAGUUUCAGAUCUAACACAACCAGCCGUCAAUAGUAAUAGUCAACUUUAUGAGGACUAUUGAUUGUUAAUAGAAGAUCAUCCACUCUCAAUGUUAUGAGAAUAAUAUCCUAUGUGUUUUUGCUCAAACAAAUCAUUCUCCGAAAAAAUCCGAUAAGAACGAUGUUCGAAUAGAAAUCAUAUAGACCUGACAACACUAUACCUGGAAUGUAGUCUCUAAGAUAUUAGAUGAAUAAGAAACUAUAAAUACAUAUAAUUAAAGACAGAUUGAUUCCCAUAAAGUUUUAAUUAACUGACGACAAACUCAAUCAUCUCUAAAAAUAUGAAAAAACCAAAGAACCAAUCUAAUCUUUUUUAACAAUCACAUCCUAUACACUUUACAUUAUGCUUUAGAACAGCAUAGAAUGAAUAUCUUCGUACUCAUGAUCUAAACAAAAUAUUUCAAUACCAAAAAAAAUCCCUUGAAAAGUUUUCACCUGUGUUGAUCGAACACCACUGAACACACAUAAUUAAUUGGAUACAUUAAAUAUAUAAAACAGCAGCAGCAACAUCAGCAUCAGCAUCAGCAUCAGCAUCGUAUAUUAGCAAUUCAAGCAAGAGAAGGGCAGCAGCAGUAGAUAAAAAUAUAAAGGCACUGACACAAGUUAUAGAACACCAGAGACUCACAAGGCAACCAUAGACAUUUCACCAAACAUAGAUGUCAACAAUACAUGCCAACGAUACCAUUGCUUAUUCCUUCAGACCUCCGAUAGGACUUCCACGCACACCAACAGAGAGAACUAAGACAGCAAAGCAACGGACACAUACAGCCCAAAAGGGUUAGUGACCCCCGCGGAGGCGGAGCACCAGGUGAAGGGUGGAUUCCUUCUGAAUGUUGUAAUCUGCCAGGGUGCGCCCGUCCUCCAGCUGCUUCCCAGCAAAGAUCAGCCUCUGCUGAUCCGGUGGAAUCCCCUCCUUGUCCUGGAUCUUUGCCUUGACAUUAUCAAUCGUGUCCGAACUCUCCACCUCCAAGGUAAUGGUCUUCCCUGUGAGCGUCUUAACAAAGAUCUGCAUGCCACCCCUAAGUCUCAGCACAAGGUGAAGGGUAGACUCCUUCUGAAUGUUGUAAUCUGCCAGGGUGCGGCCAUCCUCAAGCUGCUUGCCAGCAAAGAUGAGCCUUUGCUGGUCCGGGGGAAUACCCUCCUUGUCCUGAAUCUUGGCCUUUACAUUGUCGAUGGUGUCCGAGCUCUCCACCUCAAGGGUGAUGGUCUUCCCGGUCAAAGNNNNNNNNNNNNNNNNNNNNNNNNNNNNNNNNNNNNNNNNNNNNNNNNNNNNNNNNNNNNNNNNNNNNNNNNNNNNNNNNNNNNNNNNNNNNNNNNNNNNNNNNNNNNNNNNNNNNNNNNNNNNNNNNNNNNNNNNNNNNNNNNNNNNNNNNNNNNNNNNNNNNNNNNNNNNNNNNNNNNNNNNNNNNNNNNNNNNNNNNNNNNNNNNNNNNNNNNNNNNNNNNNNNNNNNNNNNNNNNNNNNNNNNNNNNNNNNNNNNNNNNNNNNNNNNNNNNNNNNNNNNNNNNNNNNNNNNNNNNNNNNNNNNNNNNNNNNNNNNNNNNNNNNNNNNNNNNNNNNNNNNNNNNNNNNNNNNNNNNNNNNNNNNNNNNNNNNNNNNNNNNNNNNNNNNNNNNNNNNNNNNNNNNNNNNNNNNNNNNNNNNNNNNNNNNNNNNNNNNNNNNNNNNNNNNNNNNNNNNNNNNNNNNNNNNNNNNNNNNNNNNNNNNNNNNNNNNNNNNNNNNNNNNNNNNNNNNNNNNNNNNNNNNNNNNNNNNNNNNNNNNNNNNNNNNNNNNNNNNNNNNNNNNNNNNNNNNNNNNNNNNNNNNNNNNNNNNNNNNNNNNNNNNNNNNNNNNNNNNNNNNNNNNNNNNNNNNNNNNNNNNNNNNNNNNNNNNNNNNNNNNNNNNNNNNNNNNNNNNNNNNNNNNNNNNNNNNNNNNNNNNNNNNNNNNNNNNNNNNNNNNNNNNNNNNNNNNNNNNNNNNNNNNNNNNNNNNNNNNNNNNNNNNNNNNNNNNNNNNNNNNNNNNNNNNNNNNNNNNNNNNNNNNNNNNNNNNNNNNNNNNNNNNNNNNNNNNNNNNNNNNNNNNNNNNNNNNNNNNNNNNNNNNNNNNNNNNNNNNNNNNNNNNNNNNNNNNNNNNNNNNNNNNNNNNNNNNNNNNNNNNNNNNNNNNNNNNNNNNNNNNNNNNNNNNNNNNNNNNNNNNNNNNNNNNNNNNNNNNNNNNNNNNNNNNNNNNNNNNNNNNNNNNNNNNNNNNNNNNNNNNNNNNNNNNNNNNNNNNNNNNNNNNNNNNNNNNNNNNNNNNNNNNNNNNNNNNNNNNNNNNNNNNNNNNNNNNNNNNNNNNNNNNNNNNNNNNNNNNNNNNNNNNNNNNNNNNNNNNNNNNNNNNNNNNNNNNNNNNNNNNNNNNNNNNNNNNNNNNNNNNNNNNNNNNNNNNNNNNNNNNNNNNNNNNNNNNNNNNNNNNNNNNNNNNNNNNNNNNNNNNNNNNNNNNNNNNNNNNNNNNNNNNNNNNNNNNNNNNNNNNNNNNNNNNNNNNNNNNNNNNNNNNNNNNNNNNNNNNNNNNNNNNNNNNNNNNNNNNNNNNNNNNNNNNNNNNNNNNNNNNNNNNNNNNNNNNNNNNNNNNNNNNNNNNNNNNNNNNNNNNNNNNNNNNNNNNNNNNNNNNNNNNNNNNNNNNNNNNNNNNNNNNNNNNNNNNNNNNNNNNNNNNNNNNNNNNNNNNNNNNNNNNNNNNNNNNNNNNNNNNNNNNNNNNNNNNNNNNNNNNNNNNNNNNNNNNNNNNNNNNNNNNNNNNNNNNNNNNNNNNNNNNNNNNNNNNNNNNNNNNNNNNNNNNNNNNNNNNNNNNNNNNNNNNNNNNNNNNNNNNNNNNNNNNNNNNNNNNNNNNNNNNNNNNNNNNNNNNNNNNNNNNNNNNNNNNNNNNNNNNNNNNNNNNNNNNNNNNNNNNNNNNNNNNNNNNNNNNNNNNNNNNNNNNNNNNNNNNNNNNNNNNNNNNNNNNNNNNNNNNNNNNNNNNNNNNNNNNNNNNNNNNNNNNNNNNNNNNNNNNNNNNNNNNNNNNNNNNNNNNNNNNNNNNNNNNNNNNNNNNNNNNNNNNNNNNNNNNNNNNNNNNNNNNNNNNNNNNNNNNNNNNNNNNNNNNNNNNNNNNNNNNNNNNNNNNNNNNNNNNNNNNNNNNNNNNNNNNNNNNNNNNNNNNNNNNNNNNNNNNNNNNNNNNNNNNNNNNNNNNNNNNNNNNNNNNNNNNNNNNNNNNNNNNNNNNNNNNNNNNNNNNNNNNNNNNNNNNNNNNNNNNNNNNNNNNNNNNNNNNNNNNNNNNNNNNNNNNNNNNNNNNNNNNNNNNNNNNNNNNNNNNNNNNNNNNNNNNNNNNNNNNNNNNNNNNNNNNNNNNNNNNNNNNNNNNNNNNNNNNNNNNNNNNNNNNNNNNNNNNNNNNNNNNNNNNNNNNNNNNNNNNNNNNNNNNNNNNNNNNNNNNNNNNNNNNNNNNNNNNNNNNNNNNNNNNNNNNNNNNNNNNNNNNNNNNNNNNNNNNNNNNNNNNNNNNNNNNNNNNNNNNNNNNNNNNNNNNNNNNNNNNNNNNNNNNNNNNNNNNNNNNNNNNNNNNNNNNNNNNNNNNNNNNNNNNNNNNNNNNNNNNNNNNNNNNNNNNNNNNNNNNNNNNNNNNNNNNNNNNNNNNNNNNNNNNNNNNGAGAGUUUUAACAAAGAUCUGCAUCUGAUCAAUGAGAUAAAAGAAGAAAGGAGUCAGCAAACAACCAUCAGACCUAAUAAACAAAAAAGGACUAGAGGACUAACAACAAUUGAUCAGAUCUGAGACGGAUCAUGCGAAGUGUACAAGAAAAAAAAUGAAUGACCUAAAAUUAAAAUCAACCACUUCGACUAAAUGAUCAAAAGCGAUACAUCAAUAUGCUUCAAAUCUGAGACGAAGCUUCCUACAAGAAAACAUAUGCAAGACGUGGUAGAUCGUGUCACAACAAUAUAAAGAAUCGACUUUUAUAGAACAACUAACAUAUCACAAAAAGGAAAAUCGCAAACGACUACCAAAUCUCUCAAAGGAGUCGGCAAAGAAUCAGACAACUGUUAACAACAACAUCAAUAAAAUAGAAAGAAAACGAUCGAUCUACCCCUUCAUCCAUUAACAUCGAAGCUACAGAAAAAAAAUAAAAAAAAGGCAAAGAAAGGGCUAAAAAAGGGAAACGCUCUAACAAGGUAAAGGCGAAAACAUACCUUAAAGCAAAGGAAGAAAACUUGGAAGCCUUUCGACAAUAUUGAAUAGAGCGCAUUGAGAUCGGUCUGAGGAGCCUUAUUUAUAGCCAUCUUCUCGCGUGAGAUUACCCAUCGGUGAUGUUACCAAAAAAGAGUUCAUCCAGUGAUCGCCGCACAAGUGGACGGACGAUAUAAGAGACGUAUCCUGCUAGCGCAAGGUAGGACGUCGCUGUCGGAAUAACGUGCAUCCGUCUAUUCCAACAUUACAGUUCUUUACUCACGCGUGGGUCCAUGUUUCUUCGCCAACCAGCAAGCUGGUAGCUGGUAGGUGAGGCGAGCAUUACUCUCUCGUGGCACGGGUGCCGUUCAAAGAUAACGGCGUUGCAUUCGAGAAGGUAUUCGUCCGUUUGCCAGAAUUUUCCUGAGUACGCCAGAGGUGACCGCACGCUGAACAAAUCACAUGCACGUGCCCUUGUCAGGCGUCAGGCUUCCAUCUCGGAUGCCACCGCUGUGGGCCCAGUUGAUUUGGGACCCAGCAUGUUGAGUCCUCCUCCUAUCCCUCCCGGACCUGUUGGGGAUCCGCGUGGGAUGUAAGAGUAGUGUCUCGUUUAUCUGCGAUCCUUGGUGAUGGGCAGCGGUAAGAAGAGACAACGUAGCAAUUCCACGACAUGCUCAUUCUUUUCAUCAAAAGAAGACGAUCAUCUUUUGUGCAGCUUAAAUUUCCUUUGAUUUUGUUGCAGCUACAUAUCGAGUUACAUCCAGCACUAGAAAAUAUGUAUGUUCUGGAUUGCUUUAUAAGAGAUUCAAGACAAAUUAAGAACUCGCACUUUGUGAAACAGUCACAGUCGCAGUCUUCAUCAAGUCUACCAAGUAAUCGCAUUUCCUAAUGCAAAAUAGCUGAUGUUCUUUUGGUAAGAAAGAUUGCUGCAUCUUCUUACCACGUUCUAUGAAGAUGGCAGCGAAUGCCCGUCAUCCGAAGUUUGAGGACCAUUUUGUGUACCACUCGGUUUUUUCGUGAUGACUUUGUUGAUUUCUUCUUCCUUCAUGUCGAAGAAGCGAAUCAAAGCUUUGAUGCUCUUUAACUUGCAUAGGGCAUGUUGGCUUCCGUUGCUCGGCUCGGUUUCUUUGGGCUUGUCGGCCUCUGCGCUGCUGUACAUGGCAUACUGAUAGCAUACCUUUAUGCAGAAAAGGAUGAGAGCAAGGAAACACACGAUGCCACUGAGGAGGAAGAGACCCCAGAAGCUACUGAGACUUAGCCGGUUCGCUUCUUCUUCAACACCUUGGGAAGGACAUCCAGCACGCGACAACCAUUUCUCGUGGAUCGUCUGGAGAUCGCCAUUCUCGGACAGUGCCAGGAUUGCAGUGGACAGGUCAACCGCAAGAGGAGAGUCCCUCUGGAAUGCCUGUCGGAGAAUGAAAAUUCAAGUCCACAUUAAAAUUCUAUAGAUUCGACAAAACUGUAUCCGCACAAAGGAUGUUGCAUGACAGACUGACUACAUCGUACUAAUCGAUUCUUGGUUGAACUUAUUUCAUGAAAGUAGCCUUCAGAAAUAUCGAGUAGAGGUUCACAUCUCGACUAUUGUCGUAAUGUAAAGCUUCACUUUUCACACAAGAAGAUGAUAGAGAUUUGUUUGGGAGUUCAUUAUUUGCACUUGUCAUGUUUGUUCGUUCGUCUUCGUAGCCAUAUAACAAUGAAGACUUGCUAAGAGAAUCUGAAAUGAAGAAAACAGUUCAAAUGAUACUGGAAUUGCUCUUAAAAGAAAAGAGUAAUGCUUCGAGUGCCAAUGAAUCCUGAGCUGCUGUUACCAUAAAGAUGUGUUGAUGUUAACAGAGGGUAACGAUGCUUGCAUUCUUGGAUCGAGAUACUUACAAAUCCCCAUCCAUUUUUGGUGAACUCUUGACCCACGAUCUUGAACUGGCAGUAGGCAGACAAGAAGAUCUCGACGUAUGGAAUCUCAUCGACGAUGGCUGCCACACCACCACCCUUCGGUCCCAGCCGGAGAGCCCUAGCAUACUCUGCAGGGGAGUUCAGAGGUACUAGUCUGGACUGAGGAAUGUUGAGCUCUUCUAUCAUGUAAUUCCUCGAAAACUUCCCCUUCUGGUAGCCAAUAGGUUCAGAGCUCGAGAGCAAGCUGUCAAGCCCUUUAAUCCCUGAUGAGAGCUGUUGAACUGUGAGGAUUGACGUCAAGCUGGCUGUGUAGCUCGAGUUGAUAAUUAGGACUACGAACAUCCAUACUAUCAACACGAAUCGCCCGAGCGUACUGACUGUGUUCUCCCCUGAACAUUUUUCACACACAAAAACUCGUAAAUGUAUGUUGGAGCUAAUUUGUACCAAUAAUUAGGAAAUAGUUGUUUAAAUUGUAUCAGACGUAUCGUGAAUCUCACUUACUAUGUGCGAAAAACAUUGUUGAGAAGCUAAACCUGCAUGGUGGACAGGGUAGAAAGAAUUAGUGAGUGUUCAUCAUAUUUUCUUGGAAGAACAGAGAAUUAGCGUACAAUUUGGAACUACAAAAAGCCUCAGAAGAUGGUAUCUAUCUAUCUGCAGAACAUGUGGAUCCAACAAGCUGAGCAGAUUACAUUUAGACAAAUGGUUUUCGACUGUUGAAUUUAUCAUGCUUGCCUCAUGACAAACUUGAAACCAGAGAAAGAAGAAAUCAUUUUGCCAUGGCCAUUUUCCACAUUGAAACCGGACCAAUACCUUGCAUGAACACUGUAUAAAGCUGGCAUUUUGACGAAGAGGGAAGCAGUGAAGCACACUUACCAGAACAUGGUCGCGAUCUGUUUUCUCGGUGCUCCACGGAACUCCGGGUUGCUCCGAUGCUCAAGAAUCCAAACGACAGCGCCCACCAGGAAAAAGAAAGCUCCGAUGACACACCACAUCUUCACUGUGAAUGGUUUCAGGAAGGCCCAAGCAUUCGAGCUACUCUCUCGGACGCGAGUGACUAUGACCAGUCCUGACUCGAUGUACGGCUGCGUAAAAUCCACGAUUCUCGUUCUGUUUCUCACGAUCGCAAUGUCCCCUACGGCAGCAUCGAGUUCCUGAAGAGAGAAGAAUCAAGAACGUCAUCCGGGGGUACCAGUAGAAUGAAGUGGACAGAAACAGUGAGAAGUACUUGCAUUUCGAGCAACCAUGCUCACGAUAUCGUCGUAAUUUGGAUUCUGAGAACCAUCUCCGAUGACUAUAAACUUGCACGGAACUGGGUAAGGCAGCAGCUUAACCGCGGCAUUGAAUACAUCGAUGCAGAAGCCACUCGGAUCGGUUGAGUUGGAACUGCCCCACACAAUCUCUUUGAAGCUUGCUUUGUUAGGAACGCCAAUCCUCAGCGGCUUGCCAUUGUUGGGGAACACCCAACCACGAGGCUGCGUCGUUGUCUCACCGGGCCACACAACACCGUGGAGCUGCCGCUGAACAGGGGUGGACGCAUUGGGUGGCUGCAUGUACAAGACUUCGGGGGAAAGGACCGAAAGGCCAGAGUAAUUGGACCAGUACCCGAUCAACCGAGGCCCUGUUCCUUCGAUGUUGAGAAUGUCGUACGCCGGUCGAACGAGGUUUCGAUCUGAAUCGAACUGCAGUCGUCCAGAUACGCCUGUGAAGUUUGUGAGCAGCAGUUGAUGAAGCAGACGCUCGCCUCCGUCGAAAACUCGCAGCGUCGCCAAGCGGAGGGAGCUGCCCUUGGCAUCGUGCAGCCGAGGAUCAACGGAGAAAUUUAUGAUCUGUCCUGCACUCAGAAAUCGGUCGAUAGCACGAGCGACCAACCAGACCGAGUCGUAAGCAUACAAUCCAUAGCUGUUCAAGCUCGCCGUGGUGUUUCCUUCCUGGAUCAUGCUCUUCCAUCUCGACGUCAAUCGUCUCUUGAGGUCAGACUCCGGGGUGUGGUGGCGGAGAACGAUGACUCCUUGCACGAGGCUCAUGGUGCUCGGAUCCUCCGUCCCGAACGAAUCCAAAUCUGAAGCAAGCCAAUCAGUAGCUAUCCACACGUAUCCGGUGCCCAUCAUCCCCAUAUUCUUGGCCAGGGAGAAGACGCUGAGGCCGGAGUCAGGGUUGACAUGGACGACGUAGACCCGAGACUCCAUCAGAUUGACUCCCGCCAGCAGGUCACGGAUCACGUCGGAGUCGGCACCGGGAGGGAAGCCGGCCUUGUACGAGAUCUUGGACCUCUUCCUCGCGAGUGCAUCCCCGAGCGCUAUCACGCCUCCCCUGCCGUAGUUGUCGUCGACAUAGAUGGCCGUCACCUCCCUCCACCCGAAGUGUUCGACCAAGUCCGCAACGGCAUUCAUCUGGAAGUAAUCACUGUGGGUUGUUCGAAUGAAGUAGGGGAAUUCAAGUGGAGAAAGGGUCGGAUCCGUGGCAGCAAACGAUAAGAGCGGCACGUGAAGCUCGUUGACGACGUGGGAGAUGACAUGGCCAAUGCCUGAGGACUGCGGACCGACGACCGCGACCACUUUCUUCUCCAUCAGUUGCAAGGCUGCAUCGGUGUGAUGGAGAAAUGGUGCAAAAUAUGAUGAGAAUUAAGAGAAAUUAAAGCAAGAACGGCACAAGAAAACUCAUGUGAUGAUCACGCGUCCUCUUUAAGCAGCUGAGUAGCAAAAAACAAUAUCAUCAACCAAAUCCUGAGUUCACCUUCCACUGUUCCGACGAAGCCGCUGCAGUUGGUGUCUUGUGCGAUCACGUUCAGCGUCGUCCCCGCCAGGAUUGUGGAGUCCGCGUUGACAUCCUCGGCGGCGAGCUCGAUCCCGAUCUUGGCGGCCCUUCCAAUGGUGGAAUUAUAGGUGAAAAGGGCACCGAUGUUCACCAUGGUGGGCUUCGAGGAGGAACUGGGUCCGUUGCCAAUCUGACACACAGCUCCAUGUAGACCAAGCAAGAACCACAUGGCAAGCAGUGAAGCCGAGGCCAUGGUCUCCGAGAGAACCAAUAGGAUUGUUGCCUUGCUUUCUGUUCUUGAUUAUAACAUGUGAAAGUGUUGCUCAAAAGAACUGCUAAUCUAACGUGAAAUCUUAUAAGAAAAGAUCAAAGGGAGGAGAUGUUUGAGGGAUAAGAAAGCACAAAGAGGACCUGAAACCUCCUCUUUUGGCUGUGGGGGGAAGCAGGGAAGUUUCAGAGCAUGGACUGAUGAGAAGUAAAGAAUUGCAUGCCUCCUUGCUUUCCCAUGUGCUUGGAGAAUCCCUUCUUUAUAGGCUUGGGAAACAGGGAAAGAACCAUACUUCACUUUUCAAAAGAAGUCUCUCUCUCUUUCUCUCUCUCUCUCUCUUGAAUCAGUGCCUUGGACAGAGAUAAUAUUCCACUUCUGUAGGGAGAAGGUUAUCAUCUCAAAUGUCAUGGAGAAGAAGAGGUGGGCAGGAUUGUCUUCAUGUCAUUGUCACAAAAUGACUGACACCGAAGCAUAUGAUGCCCACUGCAUGAUUUAGAAUGAAUGCCACAGCACUGAUGCCUCUGAUAUUCUCAGUACAAAUAAUAAUGUCCAAUUCCCAAAAUCAUGAAUUCCAUUACAUUGUUUGCGAGAAAUCUCAACUCAAUGGCUUUUUUUCUCUUUUGAUUUUGUUGCCACUUCUGCUCUGAAUACUUUUCUUCUCGCAUCUGAACCAUGCUAAGGCAUGCAACACAUGAGAAAAAGAUACACAGUAGUCUACAGGUGGAAAAGACACUGAGAACAGAAAUAUGUCAAGUGAAACUUUGUGGUUAUUCUUCUAGAGGAUUUUUAUCUUGUUCUUAGCUCACUACAACUAUCUCAUGCACUUUCUCUAAAUCAUUUUAAGAAUAUGUCCAUGGUAAGUGGAUUCCAAAAGAAUAUAAUAUUGUUGGACUAAAUGGAGGGAGAAAACACUUGCCACUACAAAGAUUGAUGUUGGCUUAAGAGGCACUUGGAACCAUAAUUUCCACCUCAAAUGAAAUGUCCAUUUCUCAGAUGUUUGCCACUCAUCCAUAGGGAAUAUCGAUAUUUUUUUAUCAUAAUUUUGUAGGUUUGCUUAAAAUAAAAGUAUCUUUAGAUGUUAAUUGUGUCUGAGAAUAAAUGCUUCCACUAAAAUUGGUGGUUUCAAGAAAUUUAUUCUACACAAACAAUUAAUGAAGGUUUUGUAAAAUGCAAUUCAGAAUAUUAAAUUAAAACUACACAAGUAAUAGGCCAUUCCAUUCAUGUGGCAUAUAGAUAAUUUUCUUCAUCAAGAAUUGACUGAUUGAUUGACAUAGAAGAUUAGUGUUCUAUGAUGUGCUGCUAUUGUUUUUUUUAUCCAGAAUGUUCAAGUGUGGCACCAAAAGAAUGUUCAAGUGCAAUGUUAAUUGUCUAAGAUAAAUAAAAUAUCAUACAUUUUUUGAAGGAAUAUAAAUGCGAUUGUGAAAGAAAAGAGAUGGAGAGAGGAACCUACCAUGAGGAUGCCUAUAAAUAUAUUAGAUAAGGACAAUCUGGUUGCUGGCUACACCUUUUGUUCUUUCUCCCUCAUGGGUUCCCAUGAGACAAGAACAACUAAAGGUUUGUUCAGAUUAGUUUCAAAGAUUGGAAGAGAUUUAAGAUUGAUUCAUAAAAUUAUAAUAAAUAUAUUAUUAUUAAUUUUAAUUUAAAUUGCAUCGAUGAUAAUUUCAUUAAAUUGUGUCAUGACAAUUGAUAUCUAGAUUGAUAGUAUUGAGACAUAUAUCAUGUUACGAUUUGAUCUAGAUAGAAAAUGUAAAAAGAGUUUGUAACGUCAGUUACGAUUAAAAUUGAUUUAUAAAGAUCUGAUAAAUAUACUACUAUAUUACUAUUAAUUAAACUUAAAAUUGAUAAGUUAAUUAUCUCAUCAAAUCAUAUAAUUUAGAUGUAAUUUUAAAAAAAAGGUGAACUUUGAUAUAAUAAUAAGAUUGUUGAUUUAAAAGGGCCUUAUUUUUUUUUUUUAUUCAUAUUAAUUUUAUCUACAUCCAUAUUAAAACAAGUUACAAUUUAGUUCUAUUUGUCCCAAUCUUUCUUUCUUUUUUGGGUUAAAUGAAAGCAGGAAACAUAAGGAAUCUAAAGUUAUUCCCUUAUAACCACAUUGAAUUGAGAAGACUGCAGUGUGAUGCUUGUGCUAAUUAUUAUGAGAAUGUUUCAUGUAACAAAAAAGUAAUUAUCUCAGAUUAAGAUGACUGUACAUAUACUAUUUUAUAGUGAAUAUUCACAAAGUUCAAUAAUGAUGAUUAAUGAAAUUAUUAUCAAAUAUGAUAAUAAUAAUAAUAAUAAUAAUAAUAAUAAUAAUAAUAAUAAUUUAAUCCACUUUUAUCCUUUGGAUUAAAUGAUAGUCCUCUAAUAUAAAAAGCUAUAACUUCAUAUUGUGAUACCCAUAGAGUUUUUCCAAGGGUUGUUCAUGUUCUUCUUAUUGCCAAGUGUUAAUGGAAUUGUAUAGUGGCUACUGACAAAUCAUCAUCAUAUAUUUAAAAUGGAUUGCAUCCCCUACUGUCCAUAUUUAAAGAGCUAUAACUUCAGAUUGUGAUACCCACAUAGUUAAAUGGGAAAUGCAUAAAAUAUUUAUGAUUAAUAUCCAUGAAAUUGAAUAACUGGUGCCUUGUGGGUUGUUCUUGUUCUUCUUGUUGCCAAGUGUUAAUGGAAUUGUAUGGUGACUACUAACAAAUCAUUAUCACAUAUUUAAAAUGGAUUGCAUCCCCUACUGUCCAAAUGUCUGUCUAAGCAUAUUCUAAUCAAACAUGUGUUGGAGGUGGAUCCAAUGUCUUGAAGUUGAACUGUUGGAAACCUAGAUUUAAUAACCUAAACCUAGAUGCAAACUUGAAGAUAGACCUUACUUGACCAUAUCAUCAAUCUACUACUGCAUUAGGCUGAUCAUAUCAGACCAACCUGGGCCAUAACUUGGUAUUCCUGAAGGUUUUGCAGGCCAUGUCCUCCUCUCCCUACCACAGAGACCAUAAGGAAUAGGUGCAAAUGGAGAAGUUUGACACAUCAGGCAACAUCCCCUUCUUUACAAUGCCUUGCUCAAAGAGUCUUUACCUCUGGGAAUCAACCAUGAAUGUUGAUCUCAAUAUAGCUUUUGGGAAAUGGUACCACUCAUGUUGCUUCAUUCCAGAGAAAUUUUCACCAACUCUUGUAGCUGGUCUACUACUAAUAGUAACUGGCCUGUGGUGCAUGGAGAUGAAUAUGAGCAUGCAUCUUGCCAUGGUGCCAUGAUAAAUUCCUUGAUCUCACAAAGCCACUUGAAUGAUACUUAAAAAAGACCUUCUAAAUCAUGCAUGUUAGAAUCAUGUUUGUUGCAGCAUGCAAGAGUGCCUGCCAUGGUAAUCAGUGUCAUUGUGUGAAAUGAUUCUUGCUAAACCUUUUGUUUAUCAGAGAAGAAAUUGCAGUAACCCUUUUCUUCGUUGUAGGAAAGCUAUGGAUUGACCUGUUCAUCCAAUGGUUAGGUUGUUCAAGAUGGCAUCCUUGCAGAUGUGGAAGAUGACACCAAGCUCCAUAUGGUAAUUUGUUCCAGAAGGCAGCUCUCUCCACCAUUUCAGAAUUGCUUCGAUGGUAAACAUACUGUUUAUGGUUCCCUCAAAACAGACAUGUAUGUUUUUGGGUUGCAUCUUCCACUGGCAUCCAGCCAGAGUCCAACCAUGACAUCAAUAAAAUUCAAUUAGCAUAAGAGUCACCAAGGGUGCUAUAUAUAGCCAUUGCCACCUUAACCAGUGAAUCAAGAGCUGCAUCAUCAGAGUAGCUGAACUCUCUAGCUCUUGCUUCGCAGGAUGGCUCCAGCACCUGUGAAUCUGUGUCUUGUUCUUCUGCUACUUCUCUUCCUUAGCUCUGGUAUGACAAAAUUGUUUGUGAUCUAUCUCAAAUGUAUUUUACUGGAUAUCAUUCUUCUGCAUCCAUUACAAGUUUAAGCUAGUCAGUAAGCUCACAGUUUUCUGAUUGUUUUCUCUCAGGGGGAACUAUCAACACAGUUGAUGCCCAGGUGCGUACGAAACCUCUCUGCAACAAUUGAUUUUACUGUUCUCUCUCUCAUAGUUAAUUGACCCAAAAGAAAACCUAAAUGAGCUCGAGUUUUCGGUGACUUCUCCAUGUUUAUCCUAAGUUGACUGCCCUGAUUCUUGUCAUUCCAGAAAACAUGGUGCGUGGCCAAACCUUCAACCAGUGAUAUAACUCUGAAGGACGACAUCGAGUACGCCUGUUCUCAGGUCGACUGCAGCGUGAUCGAAAGGGGAGAGCCCUGCUUCUACCCUGACACACUGAUCUCCCAUGCUUCGGUGGCCAUGAACCUCUACUAUCAAUCCCGGGGGAGGAACCACUGGAACUGCUACUUCAAUAACUCUGCCGUCACCACGGUCACUGAUCCAAGUCAGUAUGAGCUUCAACUUUCUUGUUUCUACUUGGUACUACAAUUUUUCUCAAGGAGAUUAUAUUGUUUGAUUGCAGGUUAUGGAGCCUGCAAGUACGCUUAGUAGAGGAAACUUCCCCGACCUAUGGACUGCUGUGUGGUCAACCUACCAGUGAUAGAAUCAUCACCUAGAACUGGGAUUAAAUAAAGACCACAUCUGUUGAUUAGCUGUGAAUGUAAAGAGAAGCUCUUGUUGCCGCUUGCAGCAGUUCCUCCCUCUGUUUUCUAUCUUCAGGUGGCACGCAAUAGUCACAUAUGUAGUUGAUAGAAAGUUUAUGAUUAACAAUAUAAGAAACGCCGCAAUGUCUAUGAUUAAUUGCUUGUGACAUACGACAACUGAAUUAACGGGAAUUAUAAUGCUGUUAAAUGCACAAAAAGUUGGAGUUGACAGGAGAUCAGAAGAGUAAGUUGACUAAGAAGCAGCGGAAAGAAAAGGUCACGAGAUCGGGACUUGUGGAUGCUUAAUUCAUAGUCUGCGCACAGAGAGCUGAAGGAUGAGUUGCUUGAUCUCGUCGCUGGCUGCCCUCUCCAAAGCGAUCCUUCCCUCGCCAUCUCUGACAUCAUACUUCGCACCUGCUCUCAGCAGCUCCUCCAUCUUUGGCUUGUCUCCCUCCGACGCUGCCGCCAUCAGCAAGAUGUCCACAGGGUGAAUCUUCUGGUCGAGGAGAGCUUCCAUCUUAUCGUGCGAACCCUCGGCCGCAAGCAUUCCCAUGUGCUCGAAGUACUGCAGAAAGAGAAGAUGACACAAACACUUCACGUUGUUUGCCUGUCCUUAUUUCCGUGAUGUCACCUGUUCGACGUCGUACCGGCUGAAAUCAUCGCGGGAUUGGCUUCCGUAAAUGCCGGCACCCUCGGCGUCGACGCCGGUGGCCGUGCCCGAACCAGCGUCGCAGGGCCCCACCUUGGCCCUCAGCCUGGAUGCCAUCAGCCAGCCCAAGCUUCUCCUGAUGGCCAAAAACGGAGACCUCGGUCUCUCGACAGAACGAAGAGCAGUCGAAGAAGAAGAGGAGCUGUUGGUGGUGCCUAAGGAGGAAGAAGGGUAGAGAUAAAUGCUGCAAGGAAUGGAGGCCAUUGCUGUUCGAGGACCGGAAACAAGUGGAUCAGAGGAGAGGAGGAGAACGAGAUCGACUGGAGCAAUAAAAGAGCGAUCUUUGCUGCGUUCUUCACGUCCAUAUUAGUUACCGAUUCCAUUUAUCCAGUCCGAUUCCCAAGAGAGAUGCACAGAAUUCAGCGGCUGGAUUCUCGAAUCUGGAUGCUGCGAAUCCACAGAUUGCUCCGCGGAAGCCACCCAAGCGACAAGCAGACCACUAGGGCUGUGGAAGUGCUGCGAGAACCGAGCUUCACUCCUGCGAUCACAGGACUGAGGACGAGCCGGGAGGACACUGGUGAUUCCGGAUAAGGUUUCGGGUAUACCUGUGGCUUAUUAUAACUUAGAGAGCUCCGUGGUGAACACUUGACAGAAGCAGUGAAAGUAGUUUGCGAUGGCACUUUUGUAAUAAUUUUCCUUUAUUACAAAUCAUAUUGUAAUUAUAUAACAAUUUGCUGAUUGUAAUAUUGUAUUUGCUAAUAUGUGUAUAUUACAACAUAUAAAUAUAAAUAGAAUAAUAAAUUUGUAAUUUACGUGUUUCGGGAUCUUAAAAUUAAGGGGGAAGAAAUUGGGGUUGGCAGGGGGGAGAACGACGACCAGCCGGCACCCAAUCGGCGGCGCCACCUCGCACCUCAGUCGCGCCCUCCUCGCCCUCGCCGUCCGCGCCGUCUCACCUUCCUCCGUCCGUUCCCUCCUCGACGGCCUCCUCUCUUCCCCCUCCGCAACGGCGCCCGACCUCACGUCACCGUCCUCUUCUGUCAGGCCAGCGUGCUCUCCGAUGACCUCGGUACUUUCGAAACAUCCCUCGACGGUCUCCUUUUCGCCUGCGUCCUCUUCAAGAACCACGUUUGUGUCUUCCACGACUAACCCUUCUUUUCCAUUUAGACGAGAUGUAUUGCGGCCUGAGCCCCGUCGACUCGAUUCUUCGACGGCCUCCUCUUGGCCGGCAUCUUCUCCAAGAACCACUUCGAUGUUCCAAGAAUCUUCCACGAUUUUUACAAGUUUCUAUUGUAUAAAAACUAAUCUCGCCAUUUAUGAGAGCUUUCUGUGAGUAGUGCUCUUCAAGAUGAUUCUUUUCCAUCUGGAUUAGAUGAUAGCGUAACGAGCCCCCUGGACCCGAUCCCACUGUGGCCUCGUCUUCGCCGGCUUCUUCUCCAAGAACCACGUCAUUGUCCCAAAACUCUUCCAAGAUUUCACUCUUUCCAACGGUAUAAAAGCUGAUCUUGCCAUUUUGUGAGUCGGGCUCCUCAAGAUGCUUCUUUUCCAUUUGGACGAGAUUUAUCUCGCCGUUAGCCCCUUCGACUCGAUCCCUCGACGGCCUCCUCUUUGCCUGCAUCUUCUCCAAGAACUACGUUGAUGUCCCAAGAAUCUUCCACGAUUUUACCAUUUCCUACAGCACAGAGCCUAAUCUUGCCAUUUGUUGGAGCUUUCCAUGAUGUGAGGGUCGUCCAAUUCGACUUCUUGCCACAUGGUGACUUCUGACCGCCCAUAAUAAGGUUCAAAGAUCCCAUUUUCACAUGCUUGCCGUCGUCGACUGGGCUGUCUUAUCGGGUGGUGUCAAGGGAGGAUCAAAGGAUGCUAUAAACAUUAGGCAACAGCAAGCAAUAAAAGCGGUCUGCCAUUUGACUGCGUGCAUGCACCGAUCAGUCUGCAACAGCAGAGAAAGCGCAGAAGAGAAAAGUUGCUCUUACAACUUCCCGCAAUUACAAUCACCAGCAGGUAAGCAUGCCCGAAGAUGAGCUCAAGCCAUUAGCGACGGUAGGCUGUGGGUCAGGUGAUGGGCACGUCAGUCAAGACACUGAUGACAAGAGAUGUGAUACGUGGAAGCCGAGAAUCCAACACAGAUUCAUCGGGCCAGUUUGACAGAGAGAUUGGCCCAUUAGGAAGUGUUAGUGAGAGGCAGGAAAGGAAGACGGGACCGGUUGGUUGCUUCCCUCUGCUUCUUUUCUUCGCUCGUGCAAUCUUUCCUUCUUACAUGUUGGUAUGUGCGUGUGGGAAUAUUCGAGCAUCUCGUCUUCCAUCAAGUCUCACUUUUUCUCUCUCAAACACACACAAGAUCGGGCAGAGGGUAGACACAGAGAUGAUGUGGCCGGCUGCAAGCGUGCAGAACUGGUGGGAUGAGAUGAACGACUCAUCCAAAUGGCAGGACGUGGUCUUCUACUUCCUCUGCGCUGCAUACUCACUCGUCUCUGCUGUUGCGCUGGUAGUCCCUCCAUCCUUCACUUCUUUAGUCGAUGAAGAUGCUGUGAUUUCAACAUUUUCUUGAUGUACUUAGUUGUGAUGGAUCUGUCAUCUCUCUCCCUCUCUCUCGAUCGCGGAGGAAAACUUCUUGUUGCUUGUUAAUGUGGUAUUACCUUUGGAAUUUUUUGAUCUUAUGUGGACUCUCCAUGCGUUAGCUUACUCGCUCCUUUUGAGAAGACUGCAACUUUGAAACUACGAGUUCUGUGCAGAUUCAAGUGGUGAGGAUUCAGCUUCGAGUCCCUGAAUAUGGUUGGACCACGCAGAAGGUCUUCCAUUUUAUGAAUUUCAUUGUGAACGGAGGUGACCUUGGCAUCUUUAUGUCUCUGUUUCCUGUUUAAGAUCAUGAUAGCGAAUCUGUGCUGCAGUGCGUGCCGUCGUCUUCGGAUUUCACAAAAAUGUUUUUCUUUUCCGGCCGAGGGUAAGUGAGAUAUUUUAGAUUCAACUCUUAAAAAAAUGAUGUCUACUGGAUGGAUUGUUUUAGCUUUUCAAAGAUUCUUUAGUAGCUUGAUGUUUUCCCCUUUAAAAGUGUUACCUUAAUGAUAAAACAGUUGCUAUCUUAAUAGUAAAUGAAGAAAGAUGUUAUCUGAAGAUCUUGAUCUUGUUCACAUAGUUGGUCAUGUUGUUUUUAAUCCGUUUUUGGUUUUCAGAACGGUACCAUAUGUUUCAAUCUGAAAUUCAUUGUUGAAAGCUUCUUGUUUACCAGGUUUUCACUCUAGUGUUAUUAGACCUUCCUGGAAUAUUAUUCUUUUCUACCUACACGCUGCUAGUGCUUUUCUGGGCUGAAAUAUAUCAUCAGGUAAGUUUGAAUUCUUGUGUCCUCUUUGUUAUGCAGCUAUACAUUCUGUAACCAUGUUUGGAACUCAGAACAAUUUGUUUAAUGUUUUUCUCAUUCAUAUGAUAAUAUUGAUAUGACAUUGUAGGCAAGGAGUCUUCCUUCAGACAAGCUGAGGAUCAUAUACAUCAUCGUUAAUUGUGGGAUAUAUGUCAUACAGGUAUCUAUUUUGUCUUGAAUUGUUUUCGAGUCUUUAAACUCCCCAAGUUAAUUGAUGAACUUUCCAUUAAGGUGUAAUUUUAAUUAACAAACCAAAAUUAAACUUUAAUGUUCUUUUCCGAGAAAAUAAUAUGUGCUCAGUGCAUUGUACUGGAUUAUUGAAUUUGGCAAAAGCCAUGAUGGUACUGCUAUUGACAGUUCGAUUGGAUAAGAUGGCAAAACAUGAAUAUUUAACUAGAUCGUCUGGUUGAAACUUUGUGUGCCAAUACAUAGGUAGUUAUCUUC